rnacentral:lncRNA from 1 species
GGAAUCAACCUCGUGGCCUCCAUGAUCGGGCACCUUCUGCACCAUUUCGAGUGGUCUCUUCCAGAAGGUACCAUGCCGGAGGAUGUUGACAUGAUGGAGUCCCCUGGAAUUGUCAUGUUCAUGAGCACGCCGCUGCAGGCUGUCGCCAAGCCGCGCCUGGACAAGGAGGAGUUGUACAACAGGGUCCCGGUUGAGAUGUGAGCAAGGUUUUGGAUUUUGAAUGAUGUUUUUUUCUCGCGGGGGACCGAGAUUCUAGGUUACCACGGUAACCAUGAAAUACUGGCAAAAUUUAAAUCAAAUCUUGAAUUCAAAAUUAUGUAAGUACCACUUAUAUACAUUAUUAUUGAACUUAAUAUAUUCAGAAACUAUCUGCUGGCAGACGGGUUAGGUCCGCAGGACCGAGGGUCGAACCAGUGGCCUAUAUAUAAGGUUGGACUCGAUAUGGAAAACCCUAGUUACCACUACAACAUCGCUAGUUAGGUAUGCUAUAUGUUUCAGUUCCUGUUGUGUCUAACUACACAUCGACCGUUUAAAUUCAUUUCUUUUAAGUUCCAGUAUUUGUUUUACUCGGUGUAUGGGUUUCUCAUGGGGCGGCGUGAUUUGCCGGGCGGUUUGUGAAAAAAAAACCUUGGAUGUGAGCAGCUUGGAAUGUUUGUUUGAGGAGUGGCUUGGAAUGUGUUACACCGUUGGGCAUUUGUCCCUCCUAAAAACAGGUGCUUGAUUGAGCUCAUGUUAUUGUAAACUGGGUAUUAACUUUCCUUUGAAAUCGUAAAGUUACAGUUUGAGACCGUUUAAACCUCUUGAUGGCUCUUGGAAAAGAUGCGCCACGAGGCAACCGCCGUCUCCGUCCCGUCUCCAUGAAGAUACUUUAUUUUGCCGAGAUGCCCCCCUUGGCUCUCGGCAAAUUGUUUGCCGUGUGCCAGAUGGAUGGUUCUCGACGAAAUUUUGUUUAUCUCAGAGGUGUAAGGCGAGAACUCUUUGCCAAGAACAAUUCUGGGAAAAGCCUUUGCCGAGUUUAUUUGGCCCUUUGCCAUGUGUUUCUGGCACUCGGCGUAAAGUGAAUUUAUAGUAGUGUUUGUUCUACUUUGAUUAUGUACUUAGAUGUGUAUUCGCAUAGAAUUUUGAUUUUUACUAAUGAUAAAAAAAUAGACAGUGUAUUUCUCCACCUAUUACCUAAUACUAUCCAUGUAAAUGAUGGUUGAAUACCGUGCUCUCGACUGAAACUUGGCACUGUGUUCACAUUUUAGGUCCUCUUAGGGCAUCUCCAACGUUGUAUGUCAAACUCCUCGUAACCGCACGGUCCGAACAGUUUAAACUCUACAAGGCUGUCCUCUAAAUGUCCGUGGACGGGUCCAAACAUCUAAAUUCUCACAAAACGGAAGCAAACCGAUAGGAGGUUUGCAGUGGCCGAACCUAUGCCACGUACACUACUGACUUCCUAGACCCACACAGCUUGUGGCAGAUUAAAUAACUCCGGCAAUGGGCAGAUUCAACUGGAUCUAUAUUGCGUCUUCUACCGGUACUUUUGUGUUAAAGACGACAAGGGCAAGGGCACAACAACCGGCGCUGAAGCCCAAACCGCCCAAUAACGUGUUCAGCCUCUCAGGAAUCCCCUACCGAGUCCAUCGUCGUUCUCCUCUAAAUCCACGUUGCUGAGCCACCCUCCGUGCCACCGCACCACGCUGGUGCUCCUUCUUCUAACACUGCGCCGCCUCUGCGUGACGACUGCCACUUCGAGUCCGCGGCACAUCGGUGCUGCGCAGCCGCCCACCCGGUUAGGCUGUGCACUGUUGCGCGCCGGCUUGCAAGAAGCGGCCGCAGGAGCGAGCAUUGCAGCUUCUAGAAGCGGCAGGCGCAACAUUUGUUCCGACACCCGGCACAUUAACCAUCACUUGCGCUUUAAUUGUGCAUAUUUAAUGUAUUGUUGGUGCUUUUCGUACUGCCAUACUCUACAGCCUGCAGAGAUGAACUAAUAUUCAUAUUCAGGACCUUCACAACGAGGUUGUUGCUUUAAGUUCAGUGCUGGGCUCAAUGCUUUGGCAGGAUUAAAUUAACAAUUUCAUACUCUACACUUCAUUUCUACAACUACAUCUUAAAUCUAUUCUUCCCUUUCUCAAAAGCUACAACUCUUUUUGGGAAAACUAUAUGCACAAGUACUCACUUGUGCAAAGAUUUACAUUCAUAUUUUUUUGCUCAUAUUUGUAGGUGUCACUUGUUAUUCAUGGGUUGUAUUGUGGCAUCUAGUAGUUCCGAAGACAGUUUUAUGCAUUUCAUAUGUUUUUUUUAUGUUUUUUCAUGUUUUUAGUACUGAAUUCCAUGAGUUUUGCCUGAAUAGACUUGCCCGAUUGCAUUUGUAAAGAAAAAAAAAUAGACCUUAAAACAUCCCAAAAUAAGUGACUCAACUUGAAGUUAGUACAAAGUUAAGUCACUUAUUUUGGGACGGGUGAAGUAUAAAUUAGUAACUCGCAAAUGACAAUCAUAUAUACAUCCAAGCAAACACUCAGUGGGAAGACACAGAAAAGAACAUCAUGCAUCGGCCGGCUCGCGGCCGGCUGAUCUUUUGAAAAGAUCAGAUAGAAUGAGCGCAAACAAUGAUCAAACUGACAUCCGUAUGGACCGUAUCGUCAUGAACAACCAUACAUAAAUUUCGUCACCCGUAAAUGACUAUCAUAUUUACAUGCAAGCAAACACGAAAUACCUGUAGACACUCAUACCUCGUCCGGACCAAGAACGAUGAAGCCGGCCGAAAGAGCAGACCUCUCGAACCUAUUAUUCUCGUAGUGCAAACACGUAGCACGAAGACGACGCUGAUCGACACUGGACGCCUCCGUUCAUGAUAUACCAUAACUAGCUACGAAAGCAGGGCAUGCGUGCAUGCAUAUACUACCUAGCCCACGUAACCGACCGACCGACGAAUUACGGCGGACCCGUAGUAUUGUACGGCCCAUCGCCCUGGUGACCAUGACCGGGGCCAGGGCUAUGACCGGGAGUCGUCUCCUUGUCCAUGGGCUCGACGGCGGGGAAGCUGCUGACGCCGUCGCUUCCCUCGGAAGCCCUCUCCGGAGCCGUGGUUGCCACUCCGCCCCUCGCGCAGUGAACUACCCCCGGCAUGGAGAUGGAGUGCGCGACCAGGAGGAGGGCGAUGGCCAUGGCGGCAAAGGUCGAAGCAGACGAUGAUUUGUUGGCCAUAUUGAACUUGGCAAGACUAGUCGCUACUAGGUUAUUGGUAUGAGCGUGAGUCGAGUGUUGAGAGGGUGGAGGCGUUCAUUUGGUGCCUUAUAUAGACGUCUGGUGAAGUGGUGAUUACGGAAGCUUAUUGAUUUUUGUUAGUGACGAUGCAAAAGUGUUAGCACAUGCAUGCAAGCACACGAUGCUUCUUUUCAUGAGAUGAUAAACAUAGUCGAUCAGAUGUUCCAUCUUAUUUAACAAACUGCUGGUCCAGCAUUCUUGGCGCCAGUAUUAGAAACCACCAGCAAGAAACGGUAAAAAGACGUGCCUAUCCGAUACAUCGUGGAGACAGCAUACUAUACCACCAGCAAGAAACGGUAAAAAGACGUGCCUAUCCGAUACAUCGUGGAGACAGCAUACUAUACUGUCACAAAAAAUGCCGCGUAGAUGUGGUAAUAUUCUGUCCAAGGUUUCCCUCAGAUCGAGCGCGUGGUGUUGUCACCUGUACCUAACCUUCUCUUUCGAACCUUGUACUCCCACUUGGACGUUGUUUAUCGUCAUAAUCAAAGCUCGUGGUUGCUUUAGAAUGUAAAGCCAUGGCUCCGGAAUCGUCAAGGAACUCCUAUAUGUCACACUCUCGUGUGCCCAUGAAUCACUUGACCAUUCUCGACCGAAUGUUACUUUAGGAACAACAGGUCUAUUUUCAGUGGCGGAGCUUGGUAGAAAUUGUUGUAUUUUAUCUACGUGGCAGAUGGAUCCCAAGGUUUUACACAACUUCUCAUGGUAAUUUCAAGUGAUCUACACCUUUUUAUCAUUUGUGUGUACAGCAUGGCUAUGCAAUAGUAUUGCAUUAUUUAACUGUUUUCUUUUGCGGGAGGAUAAAAAUAUUGAUGCGAAUGGUGGCUACUUUUACUAGGGUGACAAGGAUAUGGUAUUAGCAGCUAUCUAUGUUUUUGCACAAAGAACAAUAUUUUACCCGUGGUUUCUCUCAUACCAGUGCCGGCAAUUCUAACUAACCUUCUGUUCCGAAUAUUGAAAUUGCACUUCAACAAAGUUUAUCGCCAUAAUUAAGUAUCAUGGUUGCCUUAGACUGUAAUCCAUGAUUCUGAAAUCGUUAAGGGACUGCUAGACACGCCCGCGUGCCAAUCUCGAUUCUAGUUAAACUAGUAAGACCAUAAUAAGUUAGAUAAACGUGAAACUUAUUUUGCAGAACAGCAAGCAACAUAGGUAAACUACCACACACACAAUGGCUACUGAAGACACGACUCGAGGAGCUUCAAGAUUAGUGAUAUGACCACAAGCGUUAAACUAUUAAUGGGAGCAGUACCACACAGUUCAUAACACACACAGGGUUCAUCGUCAUCACCACACAGUACUUAAAUUCCAGUUUACAUAUCCGGAUGACACGCAGAGUUCAUCUUCAUCAUCACACAAUUAUCCACCCAAAGGAUCAGGCGCCCAAGAAGCUAGGCAGAUGAAGAUGCAGUCCCUUGAUGUGUGUUAAGGUUGCUCUUGCUAGUUCAUUCACCGAAUCACUUAGUCUAGCCUAUCGGAACACAUGCAGAGUUCAUCUUCAUCACCACACAUUUCUCCGCUUCACUAUCGGCCACUGCAAAAUAUUGCGCACGCGAGCUGCUCCAACAGACGUUGCAAAAAAUCGGCGCGCCAGAUGCGAGGAAGAAGAGGGUGGCGGGGGAAAGAAGGGGGCGGUGGGGCGCUUGGGUGUGCGGUUGACAGCUCGGGGGCGCGCGUUUUAUAAAGCACGCCGGACGCCGCGUGCCGGGCCGUUUUUUCGCGCGCGCGAUUCUUUGCCGCGCGCCGGAAUCUCCCGCGUACGCUGGAGCGCGUGAAACCGAUUCGCACGCGCUAAAACACCUAUAUACUUAGCGCCGCUGUUAGAGAUGCUCUAACGCCACACCGUCUACAAGGCUGCAAGGUUUGUGAUUGGAAAAAAUCAUCGAAGCUAGUUAUUGCUCUUAGACCUAGUCCAGUUAUGUUACAUCUCGAAUUCUUGAUCAAGCUCCUGCUUGACUUCGCGCGUGUGCGAUUCUUUGCCGCGCGCUGGAAUCUCCCGCGCACGCUGGAGCGCGCGAAACCGAUCCACGUGCACUAAAACACCUAUAUAUUUAGCGCCGCUGUUAGAGAUGCUCUAACGCCACACCGUCUACAAGGCCGCAAGGUUUGUGAUUGAAGAAAAUCAUCGAAGCUAGUUUUUGCUCUUAGACCUAGUCCAGUUAUGUUACAUCUCGAAUUCUUGAUCAAGCUCCCGCUUGACGCUUGUCCAUGUCGAAUAUUCGCAAGAUCUCAACUUAGUCUAAAAUUGUUCGACGUGAUUUUGUACUAAAGAAAGCAGAAAAUUUGAAUACUUUUUGUAGGUAUACACAGGAAAGAAUAUAUAUGUAUGCUCGCAGACUAGUGCAUGCAUGCAUUGACCUGAUCUCUUGAGUAUGUACGUGGUGCAUGGCAAAAAUUGCCUACGUACUACAUGCAGGCAUCCGACCUACUAGAGCGGCAACUCGCACGUCUAGGAGCGCAAUACAUACCGGAGUACGCAGCGGCCGCCACGACCGGCAUGUAUAACUAUGUACAAAAAUACCUGUAUACCGGCCAGCAAGCGCGUGUACAUACUUGAAUACCCGUACAAACAGUUCAAAAUAAGAUGAAAAUGGAUGAACAUCCAGGACGGCCGAAGUCACAUGUUUGGCAAAUGCACUGACCCACCUGCAGUCAGUUGAAAACUAACUAAAUACAUAUGUAUUAUUUUCUUUUGCAGGAGUGUGGGUCAAGAAGAUCAGUCGAAGGGAUAAACAUACGAAGAAGACCAACAUGUUUCCAUCCAUAUCGCUUCCAGGAAAAUCGGGAAACGCCCAAGGCCGCCGCCAUUCAACAACGCACACAUCCAUCAGGAGAUUCAUCCAUACCAUCACGCCGCAAGGCUACCGCAUCCAUCCAUCACGCCGCAAGGCUACCGCAUCCAUUCAUCACGCACAUACGUUCAGAGAAAAGACCUGCUAGCACCACAUCCAUCCAUUCGUCACCGGAGCACACAACCGGCAACCAGGCACACAUCCAUCAUAACUCACGCACGGGAGAGAUCCAUCCAUCCUUCGCGCAACACAACAUCUAUCUAUUCUACCACGCACACAUCCAUCCAUCGCCGGGCAAACCACUUUGCAAAACACCAGAGGCAAAUCACAUCUUGCAGGAAUUAACGCAGCCGCAACGGAGAUCGGCGGCCAUCCGUGCAAGGGCGGCAAGGACUUCGACGAUAUGAACACCAAGCUCAUGUUGCCUGAUGGUGAGAUGAUCGUCUAAUUACUUUUUCUUUUGUUUCUCUCCCUGCCAUCCAGCAUGCGUGCACUACACCUAGAGUAUGUGCCGGACAUCGGAGACGACACGCUUGUGUGAUCGCGUUGUCGCCGCCGUCGAAGACGACUUCACUGGACCAGAAAAACUGCACCGACAUCGUUGGGGUUUGUCUAUGCCAAGCCGUUCAUUUUCAGGUGUCAUGUUCUUGGCUGGAGAUUACUCAGGAGCAGCCGGAGCUCUCCAACGACGCAGCCCAACCGAUAGCCCCGGCGCCCUACCAUCGCAGCCUUCACGGUGCUUGGUGAACACCCCACGGUGUACAGGUCGCGACACACAGAUGGCGACAAACAAGGCCACAGUGAACAGGUUCAUGGCAAAGGGUACACCGGCGUACAUGCUUGGCAUCACACUCUUGGAUGAGAUGGCGUGGCGGAAUCGGAGCUCGCUGACGAUGCAGCCCGAGACCCGCCUUUUUCAUCAUGGCGUACAGGUUUCGCAUUACACUCUUGGAGGAGACGGCAUGGCGGAACCGGAGCUCGCCGACAACGCAGCCCGAGACCCGCCUUCCCAUCACGACGUACAGGUCCUUGGUGGAACCAAUAUCCGCAACGACGGGUCUAAGACCGGUUCCUCCUUCAUGAGGCCCGCAUCCCCGACGAACAGGUCAAUGGCAUACAGAUCCUUUACUGAACUGAAGAUUGCAACGACGCUGUCCAAGACCGGUCCCUCCUUCGAGAGGCGCACCCAUCAUGGCGGACAGGUCCUUGGUGUACAGGUCCAUGGCUUCGCCGGCGCACAGGUCACUCUUCCGCGUAGUACCAGCCCAAGGCGAUGCGGCCUUUGCGACACCACUUUCCACGGCCCUGUGAGGCGGCGCCUUUGCCUUGGCAGACCGCCAAAUACUUGGCGUCUAGCCAAGAUGAGGCGCCAACCACCCUGGCCAUGUCAAUAUGAGCGUGUGUCAGUUUAUUUUACACUGACGCCGGUCUCCCCAAACCGUUACUCCCGCAAGGCGUAGCCCCUUGAACACCCCGAUGAAGCAACAGGUCAUCAAGAUGUCUGAGCCGACCGCGACCCAUGCUACCCCAACACCAACUACUCCAACGCCGCAAAAACCGACGAGGCACGACGGCGAGGGCGGGCGUGGCCACCGCAAAGGCCACACUACUUGCGGCGCGUGUACCGACGAGGACACGGGCUCUGCCGCCGCCCACACACACCACCAUCAUCAUGCAUCGAGAACACGAAGCGAAGACGACGAAGACGACCACGCAGCUUAAUCGAAGGUAUCUCGCGGAGCAACCCGCGGGAGUAAUUAACCGGGAGCCUUCCGAGGCCCCGGGAACCAGGAGACCACGAUCGCCAUAGUCAGGCUGGCCGCGCUAGUAGGCCACGGAGCGCACUUUUUGUUUACGGGUUCUUGUACUUUUGUUUCUCCAAUGAGAUUAAUGAAAUACUCGUUUUCCGCAUCCUUUUCUUUGUGUACUACGGUACACUGGCACGCCCGCAAAUUUUCUUUUCUUCUUUUCCCCGGCGCAAGAGAGAAAUACGCUCCCCUUCCCUUCUCGCGGAGUCCCUAGAUAUUUUUCUCGUGUCAAACAAAAAUUAACCAUGCGCAACGCAUGCAGCAGGUGAACAGGCGCCCAAGAAGCUAGAUAGAUGAGGAGCUAGCUAGGGUACCGUGGAAGAAAUUGAAGUUGGAUGGCACCGAAGCAUGGACAAAACUGUGUAAGUUCACUGGAUAAGUGCCAAAGUGGGAGGUUCUCAGGGCUGGAAGGUCUUUGAAGUUCAAUGAAGCACAGGAAGGACACGACCACGUUGGGAUAGGUAUGUUGUGCUUAUACUUUUGGGCUGGAUUACUAACCGCGCUAGAAUUCCUCGAAACUCAUGCUCUGUUAGUGUUGUGUCAUUUUGCUUGGCCCGAGGUUUGGAUUGUGGCCAAAGUGCAUCUUACUAAAAUUUUGGUCAUGACUUAAAGAUUGAUCUUUAUUUGGAUGGUUGCCAAUUUUUUAGCAUGCAAAUGAACUUCAGCCAACUCUAGUUCAUUUUUCUUGUCAAUGUUGGCCAAAUCAUGGGCAACCAAAACCUCAACUAAACAUUUGGCUAGCCAACGCCUUUGUGAGGCAACCUCGGGCACAAACCAAACACCCCCUAGGUGUGUUCGUAGCAAGCUGUGCUUCUAUCCACGGGCGAGUCUAUGUAUCUCUUAUAGCAAGACAGAGGGCUGCCUCGCCCGCAUGCAUGCUACAAGGAGCUAGUUGUGGGACGGCCCAAUAGGGACAUGGGUCCUCAUGCUGACGUCAGUCGAAAUGCAUAUAAUUCAAAAAUUAAAUUUACUUAAAGAUUUUAACUAUGAAUUUGAACAAAUGUUAACAACGUAUAAGAAAUUUGUUAGACUACUUUUGUAAAAAAUUGGUAACUUUCAAAAAAAAGUUUGUGACAUGAAAAAAUGGCUGUGACAUGGAAAAAAUGUUUGUGACAGGAAAAACAUGUUUCCGUGUUUCAAAAAAAUGCAUGCAAUUUUUUUAAUAAAUGUGUAUGGUAUGUAAGAUAAUGCAUGUGCCAUUUUAAAGACAAUGUUCCUGCAUUUAAAAAGAGUGUACGAAAAACUUCUAAAAAAUAAGUAUGCAAUGUAAGAAAAAUAUUUGUGUAAUGUAAACAAUGUUUCAUACUACUAGAAAAUGAUGUGAUAUUUUAUAGAAAUAUUUUUGUGUUUCCAAAAAAUGUUGCGUCAUUUAAAAAUGCUUAUACAAUGUAAAAAAUGUUCUUAUAGGUUUAAGAAAUGUACUUGAGAUAUUAAUGAAAUAUUCAUGUCUUCCCAAAAAAUGUCACCGUAAUUAUAAAAAUUGGUUAUACAAUGUAAAAAAGUUUCCAUAGUUUAAAGAAAUUUUUUAUUUCCAAUCAAAAAGUACAAUUUUUAUUUCACAAAUGUUACUGUGUAAUCGAAAAAGAGGUCAAACCAUGUAUUUUAAAAAUGCACAUAAUGUAUUUGAAAAAUAUCCCACAUGUACCAAAAAUAUGAUUCAAGUGUGCGCUAAAAUGUACAAUGUGUACUAAGAAAAAGUAGAUAUGUGCUAAAAAUUUGACAAACUGACAAGAACAAAAAGAAAAACAGAGAAAAUUGAAGAAACCAAAAAAAAUUAAGGAAACAAAGUAUAACGAAGAAAGGAAAAAAUCCAAAGAAAACCAGUGUAUAAGUAUAAAUAAUAAAAUAAUAAUAAUAAUCCAAACAAAACAGGUGAAAAACAGGAAAAACUAAAGAAAAGAAAAAAACAAAGAAAUCUGGAGCAGAACGAACCUAUAGCGACGGACCAGCAGCGAGCGACAUACACUAUUAGGCUGACAUGAUAGUCGCGCGACCGUAGGUGAUUCCUAAUGGGAAUCGGUAUGGGUGAGACAUGUUUGUCGAGUUCUAUCCACACCCAAAAAUGGUUGUGCGUCGAAAUAGAGUGCAUUACAUACCGGGCGUACACCCCCAGCAAGCAGGCCGGUAGUGGGAUUGUACAGUUGAAUUGCUCCCACUCGGUUUUGUGACGCUUCUAGAAUGUUUUAGUGCGGGUUUCUUUCUUUUCUCUGCUUAUUUUUUUAUUUCUUUGGUUUUGUUUCCUUUUUAUUUUAAAACUUCAUGAACAUAUUUUAAAUUCUUGACUUUGUUUUUCAAAAUUGUGAGAAUCUCUAGAGUAGCAAUAUUCUUUAAAAUUCAUGAACAUUUUUAUUUUUUAAGAAUUAUUUUGUCAAAUUUGACACUUUCUCCAAAUUGUGAGCAUCUCUAAAGUGUGAUAUUUUCCAAGUUGUGAAGAUAAUUAACAAUUCGAGGAUUGAAUAUACGAAUAUUUCGAACAUUUCUGAAUUUUUUAAAUUAGUAGAUGUUAUAGAUUUUCGUGAAGUACUUUUAAUUUACAAACAUUUUUAAAUUCAUCCUGAAUUUUAUAUUAUCAAGGUUCUUUUGAAAUUUGAUGAACAGUUUUAAAAUUCAUGCAUUUUGAUAUUCUAUAUAAAUGUGUAAAAUUAUUAGCGAGUUUUUCAAAAAGUUGGUGAUUUAAAAAAAAAAUAGGCCAGCGAGCCUAGCGAGCCGAAUGCUAUUUGGGCCGCGGCCGAAGGCCAUCCGCAUGGGUGAUUUGGCAGCAGUUGGGUGACUGUAGCGGGAGGUCCUAUUUGCCGCUCUUCGCAACAGAUAAUUGGCCACUUUCUUAGAGCUCAAAUGACCGUUUGUGGUGCUCUUGCACUAACCGAAGUGAAAAUCCGUAAAAUGUGAUGCCUUCUUGCUAGUAAUCGAAAAAAGAUUUACCGUUCGUGAGCGAGUAUUGCUAGCCACGGGGGCCGAUGAGCUUUCAUGACUAAAAAGAACAUAAAUACUUUAAGAACUAACAUCACUUGUAGAUUCGCACAAUUUUUCAAAUUAUUUAUCUUCUAAAUAACUGAAUAUUUUUUGAAACAGAAACACUUUUCAAACUUAUGAACACGUAUUUCAAACACGAACAAUUUUCAAACUUGUAAAAACUCAAGAAUUUUUUGAAUCCGUGAACAAUUUUGAAAAUUCACAGAAAAUGAAAAACGUGAAUAUUAUUUUAAAAGUAGAACAUUCAUUCAAACUACUUAAAAAUAUAUAUAAAAACAAGAACAUUUUUUUGAAAUUCUAAGCAUUUUUUGAAAAAGGGAACAUUGUUAAAAAUUCCCAAAUGUUAAUGUGAAUUUGUGAACAACAUAUGAAAACAAGAACUACUUGUAAAAAUUUGACCAUUUUUUACAUUCCCCAACUUUAUUGAAAACGCAAAUAUUUUUUAAUUCAGGAUUUUUUUAAAAAUGGAAACAAUUUUAGAAAAAUGUAAACAUUUUUUGAAAUUUCCGAACAGUUUUCAGAAAACGAAUAUGUUUUGUAAUCUAGAACAUAUAAAUUUGAAUUCUUGAACAUGUUUUUUACACAGAGAAAUAAACAUCAAAUAUCAAAGACAUAAUGAAAAGAAAAAUAAGUAGAAAAAGGAAAAAGAAUAUCAAAAGGAAAAUGAAAAACUAAAGAGCUAGAAUAACCAAAAUUGGUCAGAUACAUUCUAGAAGGUUCCCAAAACUGGGUAUUCUUUUCGCUACCUACAAAAUGGGCCGACCCAUUUUAGAUCUCUAGCUCUCCUCUCUCUGCGUUUAGUCGAGACUUUGACGCAGGGAGGGUCAUAUAAGAUUUUUCGCCUAAAGUACCCAGGAGCUCCCUCCGAAGCUACUCCGAGGUUAAUUCUCAUGAAAAGGAAAACUAGUCCAAGGUUGUGAUUCGCGAUAAUCCUCUUUUGAGCCCAGGCUCAGCUGCACCCGCGUUGACGAAAAGAUAAAAAGAACUAGAAAAGUAAAAAAAAUACAAUUUUUUUGUGUGGUAGAUAAUUUCAUGCAUGAGCUCCGCUCUAAUUUUCAAAUCAUUUGGACAUCUGAGCAUCUCUCGAAAAAAAGAAAAAUUCAAAGGUCUGUACAAAAGUUUACAGUUCAUGCACUGUUCUGACCCGAUUUGUGUUUUUUGCUGAGAGCUCCUCAGAAGCCCAAAUGAUCUGAAAUUUGGAGCGGACCUCACGCAAUACAUUUUCUACCAUGCAAACAAAAUUGGAUUUUUUUUGAAUUUUUUUAGUGUUUUGUGAUUUUUUCUGACCCGGUACAGAUGAGUCGAGGCACCGAAACGCCGCACUCUGUGAUUCGUUGUUAUUCUCAACAAAUAGAAAAUGGAUUGAGAUUUGUGUUUGCACACGAACACACAUCAUCAUGUACUUCCCGCGUCGAGCACGAUACGUAGGACACAUCAUUCGAGGAAUCCCACUGGGAGCGCGAUACGCGCGCAAGGCGCAUCGACGAGAACUUUUGAGAUCCGAACCCGCACAUGUCUCGCAGAGACCCCGUCACGGAGUGUGGCGGCUACGGGUUACCCUAAGUCGGUCCAACUGCCCAUAGGGCCUCGAGGAUCAUUGCUCUUCAACACGAAGAACGAACGAAAAACGAGAUGUAAAAACUAGGGUAAAAAGUAGUAGGUGUGUUGCCAUUGUGUGUUUAUGAGGCGGCGGGACAUCUCAUACAACAAAAUGACUCUAAAUCCCGUCUAAAUCUUACCAAAAUUAAUCGAACAUGAAUUUUUCUUGGGCCUAAGACGACAGUUCAAUUCUUUAUAAUCCACGGGCUGCCUAUUAGCUCGGGGUAAAAUGACCCCAGAAUAAAUGUUUGGUUUGACGAGGCAAAUAAAUCUUAUGUUGAAUGUUAUUUCAUCCGAGGUCUUGAGGGUCUAAUCACCGACGCCAUGCAUCAGACAUGUAUUACACAACAUCUAGGGCGAGGCGAAUCCUUUCUUAGCUUUGAAGGUUUGCAUAUGACAUCUGAUUAAAAAUGGCCCCAAAAGCAAGUUAUUCGCCCUAACGAGGCGAUGGAAUAUCAUGUUAAUUAUUUAUUUCAUCUUAUGCCAUCUCGAGGGUCCAAUUACUGACGUCAUCCAACAGAUAUGCAUUAGAGACAAUGUUUGGAACUAGACGAAUGUUUUCCUAGCUUUGGAGGUUGUAUAUGAUCUCAGAUGGAGGGCAGCUCCAGUGCAUGUAGCUCCCGCUUGCGCAGGGUCUGGGGAAGGGUCCGACCACUAUAUGAUCUCAGAUGGAGAUGACCCAAAUAUCAGAGUUGUUAGUGUCGAUAUUCAACCAUCAUUUUCAUGUUAAAAACUUCUUCAUUUGAGGUCAUCUUAAUUAUGUGUUUUACUAUGCCAAAAUCUGAUGUCAACAAUUUGUUAGUUAUGUGAGGAAGAAGGUGAUCAACAAGCUAACUCUAACUUGAUUUUUAAUGAAUGAAGUCAAUCAAUGGUUUCAGUUUGCUAAACUUAACAGGGUUAUCAAACAAGCUAACGAGUGUUACAAGCGACCCAACUCAGUCCAUACGAGGUAGUACAAGCGCACCUCCUCCUGUAGUGCAGUAAAAUUGCCGACCUAGAGAAACGUUGCCAUGGCAGCCACAUCUGCCACAUGGGCUAAUCAGGGAGAAGGUCGUGUACUUGUGUUAGGCUGGUCAUAGUGGGACUAACUUAGUAAGUAACAUAGUGCAUUUUAAGACAAAUUUUUUUAUGUGGCAUAUAAUUAAUGAGGAGAGAGGUGUUUGGAGUAACAUAAUAUAUUACUGUAACAUAGCGCAACCCAAAGCAAAAUGAGUCUAUAAUGUAAUAAAUGCUAUCAUCUAUGAUACUCCCUCCGUCCGGGUUUAUUAGGCCUAAAGACAACUUCUCUUAGAUCAAGACACAUAAUAAUUUGCUCACAUUAAUUAUUCCAUUCCACUCCCAAUGCACUCUCUCACAUGCAUGCAGCCAAUGAAAAAGCACACAUGAAGUGUAUUAACUUUUCAGCCAUGGCACCAACAACAAUAGCUUUCAAUACAACCAAUGAAAUGGUUGCAUGCAUGCACCUUUCCAAUGCGGGGCCUUAUAAAAGGGGACAUGCUUGUGAUGCUGAGAGGCCUAAUAAACCCGGACGGAGGGAGUACUGCUUAUAUGUUAUUUCGCACUAUGAAGAUAGUAACAAAGACUAGUGUCAUAUGCAUGACACUAGUCUAAGUUACUCCCCACUAUGACUAGCCUUAUCCAUCUCCCAGCUUGCAUCGUGCAGCCGAAUCGCAAGUACGUGGGCCCCAACAGGAUCAAUCCUACUCCCUUCCUCCGAAAAUACUUCUCAUCAAAAUGGACAAAAAAGAUGUAUGUAGAACUAAAAUACAUUUAGAUACAUCCCCUUUUAUUCACUUUGAUAACAAGUAUUUCCGGAUGGAGGGAGUACAUAACAAGAGGCGCACUGCAAUGGUUCGGGCUGCUUUUAUCUUUCUAGCUAACACACACACACACACAGAGAGAGAGAGCAGUUAUUGUAAUUGAGCAGUGAAAUCAAUAGAGAACUAGUUCAUAACAAAAUCACGCCCUUACGCUCAUCCCAUGUAACAUAACAUAGUUUAACGAGCUUUGAACAAACAGACCUAAGCUAACAAGCUUUAGCAACCACUAACUCGACGAGCCGCAGCCUUAACAACCGAGGUAAUCCACCUACAGCAACGAGCCUCCGAUGCAAUUCUAUAGAAUUUUCGAAGGGUUAGAAUCCUUAAGAAUUUUCCUUAGGUUGGUCGUUUGAUUCAUAUGAUUGAAUCCUACAUGAAUUUUUCCUAAGGGAUCAUGCGUACUAUAUUUUAUUAAAAAUCUAGCAUCCGCUUCAAGCUGUUUUUACAAUUUCUUUGUUUUUUUCCUGUGGCAUCAAACACACUAUGCUAAUCCUAUAGGAGUGAAGCGGACAUGCCACUUCAAUCCAGUAUUUUUUUUCCUACUUAUGCAUUUUGAGAAUCCUGCGAAUCAAAGAAGGCCUUAGCUAGUUUUUCCAACCAUGUCGUUUUCCAAGCGAACUAGAAAAUCAAUUGUGGCAAGAUGUGAUUAGUGAGACGUGAACAUUGACUCCUCUGGAAAUUCAUUCUCUGAAACCGACGUGUUUGUCAUGCAGUAACAUACCAAGACAGAAUUGUAGGCCUCCGCCAGAAACAAAACAAUACAAAAGAUAUAACCGUGCUCAUGUAUGUAAUGCAGCUGGAAGAGUUCCUGAAGUGGAGGGUGUCCGGUCGUGUGGAAACACCUUACCUAGGCGGGCGGCUUUUGGUUUUGAGACGAAGUUGACACUUCACCCGAUCACCAAUCAGGUCCGAACUAUAUAUAAGAUAAGAAGAGCCUCCCCCAUUGCCAUCGUCAUCACACACACACACACACACACACACACACACACUCUUCACAAGUUCUCACUGUUUCCUGUCCCUCUUGAGUUGAGUCUCUCUGCUCCAUCCCGGCCGGCCUUUCCCCUCCUGACAGCCAGAUGGCCCAGGUACGCCAGUUUUAGAGUGUUUUCUCCCUCGAUCCGUUCAGAUUAUAGCAUGCCGACCGAUCGUGUCGUCGCGUCGGUGAAUCCUGCUAAGUUUCUUAGUAGAAUCCUGGGGAAAUGUUUGUUCACUCUUUGCUUGGUUGCCGCUCGCAGAAGGUGGUGCUGAGGAUUCCCACCAUGACCGAUGACAAGACCAAGCAGAAAGCCAUGGAGGCCGUCGCCGACAUCUACGGUAAGUUUGUGCCCCCCAUGAAUCCUUCCGUUGCUGGUUUGUUUGAUAUCGCUUGGCGGUUUGAUUCUCACAAGGAAGCGGGCAGAAAAAUCUGCUCUCGUGCUUCCCGGCUCCUGGCCGUUGAUAGUCAGUUCGUCUUUUCAUCGUGUAGUAUAUUUUUGGAAACACGGCCUUCUACACUUCUACCAAUAAACCGUAGCUGAAUUUCGCAAGGACGCAUGAAUUAUUGCUGGGCGAUAAUGCGAUAUUCGAUCGCGACGUGUGAUCAGACGUGGCCGGCCAAGUAAGUCAAUCUGUAGGGCCAUAAGCUACAUGCAUGCAUGUACGAUAGUACGAAAAUGGCUUUACUCUUGUGUUUGUUUGAUGAGCCAACUUGGUAGAACUACACAUGGGUCCUUUCCUCCUCCUCUCCUCCGUCCUACGUAUACGUGUGAGUGAGUGGGCAUGACUAGAUAUGUCGUCGGUCAGAUCCUCGCACAAAAGAUCAAAAUCCUCACACUAUAAUAUGCUUGUAAUCAUAGUGCAGAUCCAAAUCAAUAAAUGGAUUCUAAAGAAAGAGAGAUUUAAUCAAUUAAUGAACAUGAAUUCUAUUGCUUAAUCAAUGAAGAUAGUUUUGUUGCAUCUAAUCAUAGUCCGGAUGCAACCAAUCAACCAUCAUGAAUGAACUCAUUCCUUUUCUUUCUACUUGUGCUCGGUUGCAGGUAUCGACUCGAUAGCCGCGGACCUCAAGGACAACAAGAUGACCGUCAUAGGCGCCAUGGACACGGUGGCCAUCGCCAAGAGGCUCAAGAAGCUCGGCAAGAUCGACAUCGUCUCGGUUGGCCCGGCCAAGGAGGAGAAGAAGCCGGCGCCGGCGCCGGCUGCUGAGAAGAAGGGCGAGGAGAAGAAGGAAGACAAGAAAGAGGAGAAGAAAGAUGACAAGAAGGUCGACAAGAAGUGAAAGCAACCCAUUGCAGAAGGAGAAACCCAACAUCAUCACGCAAACGGCAACAGCAACAAAAAGUCUUUGACAUCUGAGGCUCUGAUGGAAUGCUAGAUAGCUAAUUAUCAUCUCCACUGCGAAACAAGGUCGCUUUGCGUACUGUACUGGUAUAGCGCACUACAGACAUCAAGUCAAAUCAAAUAUCAGAUCAGUGUGUGUGGACAUGUGACUCUGGGUUUGCCUGAUUGGUGAUGACAUGAAUCCUACUCUAUCAGCCAACUUCAGGCAAUUUUUCAGAAUUCAGACUACAUUGCAUGAUCUCAGUUUUUUAGCUGUUUGAACCUGAGCUGGCCUGUGACAGAGACUGGCUAUCUGCCACCUUCUGAUAGGAAAGAGGACAAGAGUUUCAGUCGUCGCAAUGGCGCGGCCAAAAAAAAGGAAGCAGUGUCAGUGUGGCCUUUCCCCUAACUCCAAGUUGCCGCAGGCCCAAGUAUAUCCGGCUUUGCUCACAGUCUUUGAUCUGUCACCAUUACUUCAAAAAAAUUUGAAACUUUUAAAUAUGUUUUGAUUUUUUCUUCCUUUUUGCAAAACGAGCUCCAUGGGGCUCGGCCUUUGCAACGCCACACUCCUAAAUGGCCCGACUACUAGGGCUGCCAAUUAAUGAUAUUUUUUAUUUUUUCAUAAACAUGAAAAACAGUGUAUUCAGUUUUUACACACUGAAAACUAUGAUCACAAAUAAAUUGAUAAUGGAAACUGUUUGCUUAUUAUGGAAUAGUGCCGUGCAUUUAAAAGUUGAUGUUCACGUACUUCAAAAACUAUUUACAUAGCUCCAAGGAGAUGUUCAUGUAUUCAAAUCAAAAUGUGCAUACAUAUGAAAUAAAUCCUUAUGACUUCAAUAAAUCACGUUUUUAAAGUAAAUGUUCACAUACUACCAAAAUGUUCAACUGUUUGCUAAAAAAAGAUGUAAACAAAAAAUAAGAGUAAACUUAUAAAAUUAGAAACAACAAAAAAUAAUCCCUGAUCAUGGGCAGUAUGAUUUGAUCUGUACUCUUUGCAAUGAGUGUAUGAUAGGGUUCACUCAUAAAACUUAUACCUCGCGUAUUGCGAAAUAUAGCAAGCACUUGCCGAUGUGCGCGUGCAAAAUUUACCACAACCCAACACUACUUGUUUUGGUUUUGAUUGUUUGUUGUUUGUUUAAAUUUCUUUUUAUUUCUUUCCGUUUUGUGUUUUUUCUUAUUUCUUGUAUUUCAUGUGUCGCAUAUUUACUCUUUUUUUGUUUCUUCUGUCUGACCAUUUCUAUUUAUUUUUGGUAUAUCAUAUUUUUUUGGUGACGUAUAUUAACACUACAUUUUAUGAAAACUCGUACUUUUAAAAUUAUAUACAAACACUUUAUGAAAAAGGUUAACACUUUAAUAAAAUAAAUGAAUUUCACAAAAUCAUGUGACUAAUUUUGUAUUAGUUAUAUUUUUUUUUCGAAAAUCAGCAUUUUCUGAAAAUUGCAUGAACAUUUUGAAGAGCUCUGCUUUUUGUAAUGUUGCAUUAUUCUUUGGGAAAAGUAUGUGAACAUUUAUUUAUUUAGAUAAACAUCUCUAAAAAGUGUGUGAAAAUGUUUUUCAUGUACAUUAAUACUUUCUAAAAAUAUGUGAACACUGUUUUAGUGAGAUGAUAAUUUUUAAAUACAUAGAUAAUUUUUGGUUACAUGAAUGUUGUUUAGAAAAUACGUGUAUAUUUAAUGUAGUAUCCAGACAGUUUUUAGAAGUACAUGAAUUAUUUUGUUUAGACGUGCAUGUAUGUUUUACAACAAAUGAUGUUUCAACUACCAAUAGCGGACAUAAGGCUAUUGGGUUGGCCACCUUGGCGUGUGCCAUUAACAGGUAUUUCUCCUUUUUUUUUCAUAAAUUGUGAAAGUAUAUUGAUCUUGCUAAUACUCAUGCACUUUCAAAAAUGUUUACAGAAUUUCCAAAAAGCCAAAAAGUCAAAGAAAUAAAAUGAAAAGGACAAACAGAAAAAAAUGGGGAACCGGUGGAGAAAAAAAGAAAAGGAAAAUCCGCAAUAAAAAUCAGUAGAAUCGACUAUAGCUACAGUUACUGCUCUCCUAGGUAGCCUGGCGCUAUGACGCUCUCGUCUGUGUGUUUCAGCGACAAUUUGUCUCAACAGGCAAAGAAUAAGAAAUUCCCUUAGUUUUGGGCUUUGUACGAAGCACUCCCCUAAGCCAACAUCACAAAAGAUAUAACAAGGCCAACAAUAGGUGGUGGCGUAUGCACUUGAGAAAGGAUGCGUGUGUGCUGAUAUCUCAGAUUACAACAAACUCAGCACACGCGCGUGCAUUACUGUCAGCCCUAGACUCCUCUAGAAGCCCAUGGUUUACACACCAUAUGUCGGUUUGUACAAAUUCCAACACUAUUCCUCAAUCACAACUUUAUCGAGUCGAGAUUGUUCCUAAAGUUCUCUAGUUUUGCUUGUUAGACAAUGGCUUUGGAAACACAUGUAGAACUUGUGCCGGGAUGCGUGCGUGUUGAUAUAAGGUGCCGGUUGGCUAGAUUACAGAGGAGUUCGGCUGAGACGUGAAUUGGGUCCCAAGUUAGCUAUAUAGAUAAGGAUCCUUUCUCUCUCCCAAUCAGAUCUGCAUCAGCCGCGUAUGGUAUAAGGCUGCAAACCGAUGAUUUCUACCCUUUAAGCUUGGCUGUGUAUGGUGAACAAAACCAAAAUCAGUUCACAAAGCGCCUUUCCUGACUGGACAAGCUUAUUUCUGACAUAUCUGACUGGAAAAGCUCACCCUUGGUUCACUGGCCUUGCUAUGGGCGGAUACAUCUUUUUCAUAGUAUAAAUAGACCCCUUAAUUAAGCUCACUGCCAUAUCCAACAAACUAUUUGUUGUAGAGGAUCAUCCACACAGCCAGCAGCCACAAUGGAAGCGAGCGUGCAACAAGGCAACUAUGUCCAAGUCUACGUCAUGCUCCCUGUAAGCACCAUCCAUUCAACUCAAUCUCUAUUCUCUAAGCACCAUGCACUACAACCAUUUCAAGGAUCUAAUUCACACAUGCAAUGUUGUACAUAUAAUACCGUUAUUCUUAAACACUCUAGUUCAAAGGGUGAAGUCAACAAGAUCUGAGGCCUCAAAAUGAGUAUUUUAUUUGUACUAACCUUGACUUCGUUUUUGUUGUGGAAAUAAAUAGCUGGACGCCGUGAGCGUGAACAACAGGUUCGAGAAGGGUGACGAGCUCAGGGAGCAACUGAAGAGGCUGGUAGAGGCCGGUGUGGAUGGUGUCAUGGUAGACGUCUGGUGGGGCUUGGUGGAGGCCAAGGGCCCCAGGGCGUACGACUGGUCCGCCUACAAGCAGUUGUUCCAGCUGGUGCAUGAGGCUGGACUGAAGCUAAAGGCCAUCAUGUCAUUCCACCAGUGUGGUGGCAACGUCGGUGAUGUCGUCAACAUCCCGAUCCCGCAGUGGGUGCGGAAUGUCGGUGCGAGUGAUCCGGACAUUUUCUACACCGACCAGCACGGGACUAGGAACAUUGAGUACCUCACCCUUGGAGUUGAUGACCAGCCUCUCUUCCAUGGAAGAUCUGCCGUCCAGGUUAAUAUAAACCACCACUCUAGCUCUCUCGUGCUUUUUUUUUUCAUUCAAAUGUGUGUUGUUUUGUGUAUUUAGAGAGAAAAUUUCAAGAUGAAUGCAAAUACAAGCAAAAGGCCAAAUGGUGCCAAAAAUAUAUAUCAACAGAAACGAAAUAUAUAUCAAGAGUGAAAAGAAUCUAGGGCCUAAUCACAGGAAGAACAAGUAGUUGUGAUUUUGAUAGGUACAAUGUGCUGAUGGUAGAAAGCUUUGAUUCUUCUUUCUGGCCGUGACAGAUGUAUACUGAUUACAUGGCAAGCUUCAGGGACAACAUGAAAGAGUUCUUGGAUGCCGGUGUUAUUGUAGACAUUGAAGUCGGACUUGGCCCGGCUGGAGAGUUGAGGUACCCAUCCUAUCCUCAGAGCCAUGGAUGGUCAUUCCCAGGCAUCGGAGAAUUCAUCGUAAGUGUUUUUUUUUUCAAAUAAAAAUAUUUCCUCUUUUGUUCCGACUAAUAUACUUUUACAUGUAACAUGUGAUGACCAAAGGCGGUUUAUUAUUGUCCAAGUGACGAUCUACAUUGGAAAAGUUUUCUCAGCAAACCAACACCGAAAUGAAAAGGGAUUCUCAUAAAAAACGCAAGGAUAAAAUGGCAAUUUCAGAUCAGAACAAGGCAUGGCUAGACCUGACUUCAUCAGUUCUCCUACCCCAUACCCCGAUCCCAAUUUUCACUUUUUUAUUUCUCCUAAAUAAGACAUCAUACAAACUUGACACAUAUGAACUACAAUAUGAGAAAAAAAAUAGGAUUCGUUUGUGCAACAUAAUCAAAUACUUCAAAUGAUAACUGUCUUGGGGAAAAGACUAAUUUCAUAUAUAUAAGCUACACCCAAAAAAAUCCAAAAUGGUUUUCUGCACAUUAAUUGUAGUCCCAAUUUUUCAUUGACCCGCAAUAUUUCAAGUUCAUAUAUUGCUUUUUGGAAGAAACAAAAAGAAGUAUCUAUAUGGUGAGAUUAGUGAGCUAGUGCAUACCUUGAUGCAAGGCAGAUGGCACAGAUAGNNNNNNNNNNNNNNNNNNNNNNNNNNNNNNNNNNNNNNNNNNNNNNNNNNNNNNNNNNNNNNNNNNNNNNNNNNNNNNNNNNNNNNNNNNNNNNNNNNNNNNNNNNNNNNNNNNNNNNNNNNNNNNNNNNNNNNNNNNNNNNNNNNNNNNNNNNNNNNNNNNNNNNNNNNNNNNNNNNNNNNNNNNNNNNNNNNNNNNNNNNNNNNNACAUGAAAUAAUUAAAAAAAGUAAAAUAAUCUAUACCAUCACCAUUAAAGACAAAAGGACUCCAUUUAACUGUUUUAACUAAUAGUACAAAUUAAAAAAAAUCCGCAGUGCUAUGAUAAGUACCUGCAAGCAGACUUCAAAGCAGCAGCAGCGAUGGUUGGCCAUCCUGAGUGGGAAUUUCCUCGCGAUGCCGGACAGUACAAUGACACUCCCCAGAGAACUCGAUUCUUCGUGGACAACGGAACAUAUCUCACUGAGCAGGGGAGGUUUUUCCUUGCAUGGUACUCCAAUAACCUGAUCAAGCACGGUGACAAGAUCUUGGACGAAGCAAACAAGGUCUUCUUGGGACACAGAGUGCAACUGGCAAUCAAAGUAAGUACCAUCAUCCUAAAUAUCUCAGUUUCUUACAAUAGUAGAUAGGAUUUGAGAAACCAUGAUUCAGUUGAGAAGUAGUGUAUGAUAAACAACAACAACAACAACAACAAAAAGUACACAAAUUCAUUCUAACACUCUAGGCUAAAGGAACUUGCAUUUCUUAAUCUAGAAUGUAAAUGAGACAUGGCCAAAUGUUUGGUUGCAGAUCUCUGGCAUUCACUGGUGGUACAAGGUUCCAAGCCAUGCAGCCGAGAUCACAGCUGGGUACUACAACUUACAUGAUAGAGAUGGCUACAGACCCAUAGCACGCAUGCUCAAAAGGCACCGUGCUAGUCUUAACUUCACUUGCGCCGAGAUGAGGGACUCGGAGCAAAGCUCACAGGCCAUGAGCGCACCGGAAGAACUAGUCCAACAGGUAGGUAGCUUGUGUCUCCAGAGUUUACGCUUAGACAUCUCUGAUAGACACAUCUAACGUACUUGUCGUCGAAAUUCUCAGGUGUUGAGUGCUGGAUGGAGAGAGGGCCUAAAUAUGGCAUGCGAAAAUGCACUUCCUCGAUAUGAUCCAACUGCUUACAACACCAUACUCAGGAAUGCAAGGCCUCAUGGCAUCAACAAGAGCGGCCCUCCUGAGCACAAGCUGUUUGGAUUCACCUACCUCCGGCUGUCGAAUCAGUUGGUGGAGGGACAAAACUAUGUCAAUUUCAAGACCUUUGUUGACAGAAUGCAUGCCAACCUGGUUAGUGCCACAACCCCUUGUUCAUGCAUGUCAAAAAUUAAACAGAGGAAUCAUUAAUUUGUUGAUUUGCACCGGCCUAUUACAAUAAUGCAAUUUGAUUCUUUUCAGCCUCAUGACCCAUGUGUUGAUCCAGUGGCGCCUUUGCAAAGAUCAGGGCCAGAACUGACGAUUGAAAUGAUCCUACAAGCAGCGCAGCCAAAACUGGAUCCAUUCCCCUUUGAAGAGCACACCGACCUGCGAGUUCAAGGCCUCGGUGGCAUCGGUGGGGAUGUUGAAGGCCCCACUGGUGGCAUGGGUGGGGAGGUUCAAGACCCCACUGGUAGCAUGGGUGGGGAGCUCCCUGCCACCGUGUAAUGAAACCUUUAUGAUCUACAGUACCUUUUAUGUUGUGUGUGACAGAGAAACCUUUCUCUGCCUUAUUAAUAGCAAUAAAUAAAGCACAUCACUUGUGCGUGUUCUGGAAGAAAAAUCUCAGUGCUGGAAGGGUUAAUCUUCUCUUUGUGAGAAUUAACCGUGCCCUAGAAAUAAGCCGAUGAGGAUAAAUAAGAUGUGGUGCUACAGUACAUCAUGAGGAUUACUCAUCAAUAUUGGAUUAGUCAUCAAGAGGAUGCUUUUCCAAUGAGCUGUAGUACAUCAGACCUUACAUACCUCCAUUAUGUGCAUAUGAGUGAAUGAACAAACUAUUUUGUGCUCAUUUAGCGAUUGUAUAUGGGUCCAUCAUUUUGGAUUGCAUGUUCACGAUUACCACUCGCAUGGCUUUGACUAAUGUUACGUGGUAAACUACUAAGUGUCCAAUCUACUUCGUUGGAUUUUUUGACCAUUUUGGAUCAAGAGUUUUAGAAAAAAGUUUCAUCUUCGUAAUCAAGCCGUAAAUUUUGUAUGUAGUUUGGUCGCAGUUUACGAAGCUACUCAAGACGAUCAUAAACUAUCUUUUCUUGGUGAACCGGUCAAUCCUGCUAAAGAAAUUCUAUAUUCAUUGUUCAUGGGUGGGGAAUUCAACAUCCUAUGGUUUCAGCAACGAUAAAAUAAUUAGUUUUACAGUUCUUUCUUAUUCAGCAUUGCCAUUGACAAUUUGGAUCUACCUGAGAUAUUUCUGGACAUCAAUUUACCUGGGCUAAUACCCGGCUAGAGUCGACGUUUGAAAAUAUGGGUCACGUGCCAAUGGAUGCUGGUUGGGAAUUGAAAUUUCUUUUGGUAACAAUACAUGAUUUGGUACGUACCAAAGCAUCGCAAUACACCGCUCAGUCAAGUUCGAAUGGUUUGUUGAUGUAGUCAACAAGGUUUUGGAUGGUCGAUGAUGGGUAGAUCGCCUUCCCAAGGGGUUAAAAAAAAUCCUCACUUUGCAACAGUUCCUCGCAUGGAGGGAGUUCUCCCACUGAAUCGAAUCUCUCCCGCGACCUAGGCUAGGGUUCCAUCCCCCGCGUUCCCGUCCGCCCACUCGCCCCCCUCCCGCCCCCCUCGCGCGGGCGAUGGGCGGGCCCCUGCCGCUCCCUCUCCUCCGGCCCCCCUCCCCGCCCCUCUCCCUCNNNNNNNNNNNNNNNNNNNNNNNNNNNNNNNNNNNNNNNNNNNNNNNNNNNNNNNNNNNNNNNNNNNNNNNNNNNNNNNNNNNNNNNNNNNNNNNNNNNNNNNNNNNNNNNNNNNNNNNNNNNNNNNNNNNNNNNNNNNNNNNNNNNNNNNNNNNNNNNNNNNNNNNNNNNNNNNNNNNNNNNNNNNNNNNNNNNNNNNNNGGCGCGGUCGUUGGCCACGUGGCGGCGUGGCGGUACUGGUGGCCGGCGGCACCGCGCGGCCCAGAUCUGGGCCCUUUCGGGCUCCAUCUGGGCUAGGGUGGGCCGGUGACUGGGUGCGCGGCGACGUUGCUCCCUGGUUGGUGGCGAGGAGGCGGUGGUCUGCGGGAGGUGGCGGCUUCGUCGGCCGGCGAGCUGCUGCGUGACGGUAGGGGCUGUCCGGACCCUUUUGGGUCUGGCCGGGCCUCGGCGCUUGGCAGGCCUCUUGUCCGUGCGUCCGUCCGGCUCCGCGGCAGCAUUGGUGGUUGUCCCCUCACGUCGGCGAUAUUGCAGAUGCCCUUGAGGCCACUAUCUCUUCUUCCGUCCUCCAGGUUGUGUUGGUGACCUCAGGGAGACGACGAAGUUGAUUCGGUGUCCGUGGUGGCACAUGUUGGUGGGCGGCGUGAUGGGCGGUGCACUAUGAUUCGUCUGGGGUGGUGGUGGGGGUUUGGGUUGGGAGAAAUCUCUGGCGGCUCGUUCGGCCCCAACGCGGCGAUGCCUGUGGGUGCCGUCGGACCUCCCUGAAGGGCGUCGGGUACGCUCUCCCCCCACUNNNNNNNNNNNNNNNNNNNNNNNNNNNNNNNNNNNNNNNNNNNNNNNNNNNNNNNNNNNNNNNNNNNNNNNNNNNNNNNNNNNNNNNNNNNNNNNNNNNNNNNNNNNNNNNNNNNNNNNNNNNNNNNNNNNNNNNNNNNNNNNNNNNNNNNNNNNNNNNNNNNNNNNNNNNNNNNNNNNNNNNNNNNNNNNNNNNNNACCCUAGGACUAAUCCGGGUAACAACGGCGUCGUCGUCGCCUCCUUCUUGAAGGUGUUGCUUGGUACGCGGCGCUUCAGAGUGCCGGGAGCGUGGUGGUACUUCUCCGGAGGGUGCAGCGGUCGCCGGUCGUCUUCGUUUCGUUGAUCUGCCAUUGUUGGCAUUUCUUUCUCUUUCUUUUUUCUCUGUUUUUCUUUGGGCUUGUUUGUGCUGCGGCCCCAACACCUAUCGUUGGAUGUAUCGAUGGUUGCUUUGUAAUACAAAGCAAGGAGAAACCCUUUUUCGUAACAGUUCCUCGCAUGAUAGGAAGUAAACACCACGGCAUAUACUAUAAAAAAACGCCCAUAUCCGACCGGGUCCUUUAACUAUGGCACAGCCCAUUAGGACAUACUUUUAUAGUAUGUAUUUUUUAUCUUCAACGUGUUAAAAUAUUAUUAUAAAUAGAUUUAUAACAAAAAGUUUUUGUGUACUGGGAACAAGUGUAGUGUGUUUUAAAAUAAAUGUGCAUGACGUCAAAAACGAAUGUUUACAUAGCUCGCUAGGGAUGUUUAUGUAUUCGUGAACAAAAUGUUAAUAUGUAUAAAAAAGGUUAAUGACUUCAUAAACAGUUUUAUGAACUUCAAAUAUUUUUUCUUAUAUACCUUUCUUUGCAAUGAAUGUGGAAUACGGUUGACGGGGAGUUUCGAUAUGACGGCCUUAAGCGGGAACUGUUGGAGCAAAUGUCGAAAGUAAAUCUCCAUAAUUAUAUUUAGUCUGGAAAAUGGUUUUAAAUUUUAAACGUAUGUGUUGCAAAAAAAAAAAGUUCACCUAUACGAAUAAUGCUCAUGUAUCAGGAAUACAAUUUGGUGACGAAUCAUAAAAAUAUAUUUCCAUAUGUGAGAAAGCAUUCACUUAUUUCAAGCCAGGAUGAUCAUGGUAUGGAAAUGUGACAUAAAGCAAUGUUCAUGUAUAAGAAAAAUUGUCCUCAUAUAUACUGUACAACUCCUUUUUUAUCGAGGUGUCGUGAGCUGCUAUGCGUAUAGGAAUUUGCCGAGUUUAAGGGCUGGCCGGUUGUUCUGCUCCUAGUUUUUUUGUGGCACAGUAUAAUCAAAGUCCCUCACAUACACGAGCAUAUAUCUGCCCUUAUGAACGCACACCAUAUCCCUAUAAGCAUCUUAAAAGACUGAGUUGGCAUAACAUCUUGAGAUUUCACAUAGUCACCACAAGCGCCUCGCAGUUGACGGAAAUGUUUCCUACGGGUUUACGGGCUGGCCGUUUGUUUUGCUCGAGUAAUGCUACAUUCACGGAUGAUUAUGAGGGUUUUACAGGGUCAUUAUGACUUGGCAAAUGGUUAUUGAGUUAAGGGGGAGGGAGGGGCCCCACCCACCUGAACCUCCCCGUAAUCAUCUGUGAAUGAAUUAAUGCUCCCCGAAAAAAAAAACAUCCGUGAAUGUAGCAUUAUUAAUUCUACUCCUCGUUUUGGGUUGAGAGUGAUGGCUCGUAGGAGUUUAUCGGUCCCCGGAAGAAUCACUCUCCCGGCAUGAUGGACCCUAGUUUCUUAGCUCUGGCGGCGACCCAAAAUGAUGCCUCCCUUUUGAUGUUGUCGAGAAGAACCGUAGGCGGAGCGGCCAUGUUGCGGAAUACACGGGCGUUUCACCCGUUCCAGAUCGUCCAUGUAGUGAGCAUGGUGAGCGAGGCCAUGGCCUUCCGGUUGGGGACGGAAGUAUCUGUCAACCCAAGCCACCAGUCUAAGGUGGAAUGCCUUAGGGGCCAAGUGGAGGUGUCAACGUGAAUGAGUUGUAGCCACACCUUGACCAAGCCCCAUAGGCGAAUGGUGAAACGGCAUUUGAAGAAGAGAUGGUUAACCGACUCAUUCUCACGCAUGCAUAAGGGGCAUGAGCCACAUGUUGGAAAUAUGCCCUAGAGGCAAUAAUAAAAUGAUUAUUAUAUUUCCUUGUUCAUGAUAAUUGUCUAUUAUUCAUGCUAUAAUUGUGUUAUCCGGAAAUCGUAAUACAUGUGUGAAUACAUAGACCACAACACGUCCCUAGUGAGCCUCUAGUUGACUAGCUCGUUGACCAAAAGAUAGUCACGAUUUCCUGACUAUGGACAUUGGAUGUCAUUGAUAACGGGAUCACAUCAUUAGGAGAAUGAUGUGAUGGACAAGACCCAAUCCUAAGCAUAGCUCAAAGAUCGUGUAGUUCGUUUGCUAUAGCUUUUCCGAAUGUCAAGUAUCAUUUUCUUAGACCAUGAGAUUGUGCAACUCCCGGAUACCGUAGAAGUGCUUUGGGUGUGCCAAACAUCACAACGUAACUGGGUGACUAUAAAGGUACACUACGGGUAUCUCUGAAAGUGUCUGUUGGGUUGGCACGAAUCGAGUCUGGGAUUUGUCACUCCGUAUGACGGAGAGGUAUCUCUGGGCCCACUCGGUAAUGCAUCAUCAUAAUAAGCUCAAUGUGACCAAGUGGUUCAUCACGGGAUCAUGCAUUACGGAACGAGUAAAGAGACUUGCCGGUAACGAGAUUGAACGAGGUAUUGGGAUACCGAUGAUCGAGUCUCGGGCAAGUAACGUACCGAUUGAAAAAGGGAAUUGAAUACGGGAUUGAUUAAGUCCUCGACAUCGUGGUUCAUCCGAUGAGAUCAUCGAGGAGCAUGUGGGAGCCAACAUGGGUAUCCAGAUCCCGCUGUUGGUUAUUGACCGGAGAGGCGUCUCGGUCAUGUCUGCGUGUCUCCCGAACCCGUAGGGUCUACACACUUAAGGUUCGGUGACGCUAGGGUUGUAGAGAUAUUAGUAUGCAGUAACCCCGAAAGUUGUUCAUAGUCCCAGAUGAGAUCCUGGACGUCACGAGGAGUUCCAGAAUGGUCCGGAGGUAAAGAUUUAUAUAUAGGAAGUCCAGUUUCGGCCAGCGGGAAGGUUUCGGGGGUUACCGGUAUUGUACCGGGACCACCGGAAGGGUCCCGGGGGUCCAUCGGAUGGGGCCACCUAUCCCGGAGGGCCCCAUGGGCUGAAGUGGCAUGGGAACCAGCCCCUGAUGGGCUGGUGCGCCCCACCCAAGGGCCCAAGGCGCCUAGGGUUGGAAACCCUAGGGGGCCGUUGCCCCCCGAGGGGGCAUGCGCCCCCCUGGUUGGAAACCCUAAGGGGGCCGUUGCCCUCAGGCCCCCCCUUUUAGAUGGGAUCUCCCCCCUAGCCCCUAUAUAUAGUGGAAGGGAGGGAGGGCAGCCACACCUUGCUCUUGGCGCCUCCCUCUCCCUCCGUAACACCUCUCCUCCCCGCUUGUGCUUGGCGAAGCCCUGCCGGGAUCCUGCUGCAUCCACCACCACGCCGUCGUGCUGCUGGAUCUUCAUCAACCUCUCCUUCCCCCUUGCUGGAUCAAGAAGGAGGAGACGUCUUCCCAACCGUACGUGUGUUGAACGCGGAGGUGCUGUCCGUUCAGCACUUGGUCAUCGGUGAUUUGGAUCACGGCGAGUAGGACUCCAUCAUCUCCGUUCACUUGAACGCUUUCGCUCGCGAUCUACAAGGAUAUGUAGAUGCACUCCGAUUCCCCUCGUUGCUAGAAUACUCCAUAGAUUGAUCUUGGUGAUGCGUAGAAAAUUUUUAAUUUCUGCUACGAUCCCCAACACCACAGUUAGGCCAACCGCGCUUGGCCAAUCGGUCCAGACUCUAUUUUGGAUGGCCAGCCAAGCAAAGAACUUGACCUUGGGUGGAGCCCAAAUUUUCCACACUGCAUGCUUCAAGGGAGAGCGAAUGAGGCCAAGAAAUUGCGCUUUGUAGGCGGACUCCGCCGAAUAGAGGCCACUAGUAAAAUGCUUCCAAACAAUCUCGUCGUCAAUAUCCUCAUGUAGAUGGAAAUCCCGGAUGGUGGCCCAAAGCUCGAGAAAUUGUCUGAAGUGCUCUAUAGAAAAACUGGACGUCAUCUUGAUCUGUUUAACCCAAGCACCAUCCUUUAGUGCUUCCCGCACCUUCCAAUUCUUACGCCGCGUAGAUGAGAGGGGCCAUAUCCAUGGGUUUGCGGUUGUGCACCCAUGGAGAGUCCCAAAAGGUGGUGUGCGCGCCAUUUCCCACGAUAAUAAUUGAGGAGGCAUAGAAGAAGUUGUAGUCCGCGUUAUCGCACGGGUUGUCCAUGCCAACCCACAUUUUAGUUGGGUCCUUCCAUUCAAACCAUACCCAACGAAGCAUCAGUGUCCUAGCAAAUUUCUCCAUGUUUAGCACUUUAAGACCCCAAUUGGCAAUUGGGCGGCAAACGGUGUCUCAAUUAACAUUGCAUUUGGCCCGGUGGUCUUGUCCGUUCCCUCCCAAAGGAACGCUGGCUCAAGCUUGUUGAGAUUUUUGAGGGCGACUUCAUCGUGUGGUACAGUGAAAACGUACGUUCCAUGCUGUACACGGCGCCAGAUAUGGUCUACGUCAGGUCCAGGUCGUAACAAGAAACGGAAACACGAGGCGACGAUCGCGUUUGGAAGGAUGCGCAUGAAUGGACUAGCUUUCGCCUACCGCCCACCGAGCGGCGAGAGCGCAACCUACAUCGACCAACUACCCAGCUGACCUCUACAGACCGGACUUGAAUGUAUGCACUACCUACGUGCUACGUCGGCGGCGAUGGCCGCGUACGCUGGCUACGUGCCGCAUGCAUGGCGAGCUCGGCCCGUGCGUGGCCAGCUAUAGAUACGUACCCCAUGAGUCCCUAGAAACACCUGCCACUGCGAGAGCGAGCGUGUGAGUAGAUCGACGACGAUGACAGACAUGGCCGUGAUGCUGGUGGUGCUGGUAGUGCUGGCCUCAGCUAGGCUAGUUACUCUAGCUGAGUUAGUUCUGUGGUACGCAAGUAUGUUGGUAUGAUCGAAUAAAACGAUGGUGAUCUACGGCGCCAGGCUGCUGGACGCGUCCGACUGCAUCUUGGAGCAGCGCCGGACGGCCCCUCAUAUGUCCUGCCGGACAGGCACUCUCCUCGUAUGGCAAAAUGAAAUUCAAUGUCCUAGACACGGCUGGAUAACGUGAUAAAUCACUCGCCACACGCCAUCCGUGCCGCAUGCUCUGUCAGCAUCCGUGUCGUGUGAUCUAUUGCCAUCCGUUACGCCAACGCCGCCUUGAACUCUCUAUGCAUGGUGAUCUCCUUCUUCCUCCUCUCAAGUCACUUCUUGCCUUCGGCAUCUAAGAGGCUUGCGUCCGUUAAUAUUAUCAUAGAAUCCUCCGUGUCUUGAGCCAGCUGCAACCUCUCCAUUUCAAUCUCUACGGUUCCAAAAGUUCAGGCUUUCUUGAGCUCCCAUUUUGGACACACCUCCUUCUUCUCCAAACUAUCCUCUCCUCAAUUUCUAACUCUCGUUGCUUUACUGAAAAAGGCUUUCGCCCCGCUUUAUAUAUAAAGCAAAGAUUAUCAACAACCCGGUACAACGCACGCCACCAGAAUACACGCACACACCCAGGGCAGGAUACAUAGGCGCUGAGCGCAGCAACACCACCCAUAGCACUACAAUAGCAACCGGGGGCCUCAACCGUGAACACGCCACCGCGAAGAGAAGAAGCUACAUACGAUGAACCGUGGGCUCCAAAGCGGUGCCAACAGGAAGGUUACGACACUGAAGCGCCGCCACCGCCCGACCCAAGGAUCAGGGUUUCCCCUGAAGCAACACGACGGGCAGUGAGAGCCGCGUAGACGCCUUCAAGAAGGGAACGAGCUUUGCCGUCGCUGGUCCGUCCGAAGAUAGAACAUGUUUUCACCACCACCGAACGUCACACCCUGGCUACCAUGCCGCCCACACGGCCAUGGCCACCAGGCAGCACCAAGCCACGAGCUUUGCCCAUGAGCACCGCGACACCACCACCAGGGCCGCCGCCCCGGCAUCCAGGAUCUCGAUGCCACCUCACCCACCACCCACCUCUACCCCAACCAAAGAGACGAGUGGAAAGGAACCGCCUUUCGUACCCCUGAGCAGUCAACGGGCAGCCCCGAGCCAGCGCCACCAUCCUCGCCGCCAAGGGCCGCCGCAUGCAAGGUCGGCCGAAGCCCACACCGCCGCCAGCGCCACCACCAGCACGAACCACCACCACCGCGCCGCCACUCCACCGACCACCGCAGAGACGGCUUCCCACAAAGUACCCAGCCCGCGCCGCCCGCCAGAUCUGGCCGCCGCUGCAACAGCCGGCGUCAGUGCAUGGACUGGCACGCCCCGCCCCUGCACAGCCCACCUCACCGCCAGCAAGGCCCCGAGCUUCCUCCACGCCAACCCACCACCACGUCCCGCGCACCGCAGCGCCCAAGACCAACAUCGCCGGCCCGCGCCAGCCCCUGACGAGCGAGGGGGUGAGAAGUGCCCGCCGCCGCCGGCCAGGCUUCGCCCGGCCGCGCCCUUUGGCGGCGGUGGGAGGGGGAGGGAGAGGCGGGCGGCGGCUAGGGUUCCUCCCCUGCCGCCCGCGGGAGCGCCAGAGGAGGAGGAGGUCGCGUUGACAGUUGUAUUUUGGGCCACUCAUUGCUUUCAUUUGCAACUUAUUGUUUAUCUUCUUCCAGUCCUAAUCCAUCCUCUCUUUAUUCACAGACAAGAUGAGUUUGUACCUCUCCUCUUUUGUGUCCCCCCUUGUGGAAAACUGCGUGCCCAUGUGAUGGACAUUUUUGAUGUCGUGGCAUCACGAACAAUCCUACGCUUCUCCUGAUGAGGUCACCUACUACAGGUAGGGUCAAGGACCUGUCAUAUGGAACCCACCUAGGGCCCCACACCAUCAUCGGUAGGUCUCUGGACCAUAGGUGCAUUCGGAUGCGUAUAACAAAAAGUCGAUUCGAACGCACGGACAUCACUCGGAUGCCUACCCUCCAAUCGGCAUGACCACCACCACUCGGACAAGGGAGGUGGAAGGAUGACAUGGGAGCUGCAACGGUCGAGUAGUCUUAAGUCGAACUUUAAGUAGAGUCAUAGCUACCAUUACAUGUAGCUAUCAUUGAUGGGGUUAUGUACCUAGGGUAGGGUCAUGGACCUGUUCCAAGUAACUUACCCUAGGACAUCCCUAGAAGAGGUCGCCUUCCAGUCGACCAACGAGGAUUCACUCGACUGGCCUGAAGGACUCGACCAUGAAGACUCACUCGACCACCAGGAGGUCAAGAGGCACUCUGCACCGCAACGGCCUGUAAUUAAGUAGACUUUAUGAUAGUAAAGGCACUUUAUGUGGGGCGUUACCAGUAACGCCCCAGACUUAACUCACCUUAAACCCUCUCCUACGUGGGCUGGCUGGGGUCCUGGCGCACUCUAUAUAAGCCACCCCCCUCCACAGGCAGAAGGGUUCGGCACCUUGUAAUCCAUACAUUCAUAAUCCACUCGACCGCCUCCGGGCUCCGAGACGUAGGGCUGUUACUUCUUCCGAGAAGGGCUUGAACUCGUACAUCCUUUGUGCUUACAACCUCUCCAUAGCUAGGACCUUGCCUCUCCAUACCUACCCCCCACUCUACUGUCAGGCUUAGAACCACGACAGUUGGCGCCCACCGUGGGGCAGGUGUUUUAGCGAUUUUGUGGAGAAGUUGCGAUUCUUCCGAGUACUUUCAUCAUGGUGUCUGCUGGAAUUUUGGUCGAGGGUCAAGAGAUCCGUCUCGGCGCUCUCGCCUUCAUCGCCGACGACUCCGCAUGGCUCCAGGAGGCUCCACUCGACGUAGAUGCGCUCCCCGUCCGCGGUGCGACGCAUUUUCGCGCAUGUGUCCGCGGCGUUCUGCUGCGGCAACCAUCGACUCAGUAUCGGUCGGCUCCUCCAUCUUCCACCCUCCCGGUCUCCCGCCAGCGCAAGCGCUCAGGCCGGUCGAGGCUUCAGCGAUGGGUGAGUCACGCGGUGGCUCGCCAGUCAGCCACUACACAAGUUGCGGCAAUCGAGCCCAACGAAUCUCUCUACGGCUUGUUCGAUCAGUCGACUGGCUCCGGAGAGACUGCAUCCGAGUGCGGAAGCAGUGAUCCAGUGGCGGAAAUCUUGAUGGUCGACGGGCCCCACAGUCCUCCUGGCUUCGCCCGUGGUGGUGGAGCAGGCGACGGCGGCGACCCUGCACGAGGCUACGAAGAGUACCAGCCCGAGCCACUCGACUCUCUGCAAAGAGAAGAGCUUCGCCGCAGGAACGAGGAUCCCCUGCGUAUUCCCAUCGCAGGAGAAACCCCCGAGGCUCGUGCCUUGGAGGAGGCGCGUCUGGCCAAUUUGGCCGAGCGCACUCGACUGGAGAACCUUCAGCGAGCACUCGACGAGCGCGCGCGGCAACGAGUUCCCGACACCAGUCGACGUCAACUCUUCCCGCCGACUCAGGUAUAUCGAACCCCAAUUCAGAAUUUAGCAGCUGCGACCCGUAUAGCAGAGUCCAUUCAGCCUUCGCAGUCGGAAGCUGGCAGAGGUUUGCUGCAAAUCAGGGAUCUGCUCCGGGCAGCAGGAGAUCAGAAUUCAGCCGUGUCUCAGUCGCGCAACAGAAUUCACAGUCGAUCUGUCACUGUGAAUACGGUUCAGUCGGCUCACAGCCCCAGAUCGCCUCCGCGGCGCGAAGGGCGUGAGAAUCGGCGAGAUCAAUAUGGCGACAGACUCGACCGAGAUGAUAGGCGUCGAGUGCCCUAUUCCCCUCCGAGGGGUGGGUCUUACGCUCCUCGGCAGCCAGAUGAUAGGCGUCAGUACAGUACAGGGCGUAGGGUUCCAGUUGACCCCAGAGAGCCAGGCUUCGACGCGCGAUCCAUUAUCGUGCAAGGGUUGGUCGACCGGAACAGAGCCCAUCGAGGCGCACUCGACAGAGAUGUGCCCACGAGCAGUCAAGUACAUGUUUCUGGUCCUGAAUGUUUCAGCAGAGCUAUCAGAGCCGCAGUUAUUCCCCCCAAUUUCAGGUUGGCAACAGGAGUCAGCAAGUUCACUGGUGAGUCUAAGCCUGAAACUUGGCUUGAAGACUACCGAGUGGCAGUUCAGAUCGGUGGUGGGAACGACGAGGUGGCCAUGAAGCAUUUGCCCCUCAUGUUGGAAGGUUCUGCCAGGGCAUGGUUGACUCAAUUGCCUCCUAGCAGCAUUUACACUUGGGAAGAUCUGUCCCGAGUGUUCGUCAGAACGUUCGAAGGGACUUGCAAGCGACCAGCGGGAUUGACAGAGUUGCAAGUCUGCAUGCAGAAAACCAAUGAGACUCUCAGAGAGUAUAUUCAGAGGUGGAUCACUUUGCACCACACUGUGGAAAAUGUCUCUGACCAUCAGGCAGUAUGCGCCUUCAAAGAUGGUGUCAAGAACAGAGAACUGAGUUUGAAAUUUGGUCGAACCGGUGACAUGACCUUGAGUCGGAUGAUGGAGAUUGCUACCAAGUAUGCCAACGGCGAAGAAGAAGACCGACUCCGAAGCGGCAAGCACAAGCCGAGUCAGUCGGAAAAAGGAAACACCAGUCGGAAACAGAAGCGGAAGGCUGAACCGGCAGCUCCUGGAGAGGCUCUGGCCGUGACUCAAGGAAAGUUUAAGGGGAAACCAAAAGGAUCCUGGAACCCCAAGAAGGUAAAGGAUAAAGAAGGGAACGACGUGAUGGAUAUGCCGUGUCAUAUUCACACGAAGAAAGAUGAAGAGGGGAAUAUCAUUUACCCAAAGCACACCACUCGCCAAUGUCGACUCCUGAUCCAGCAGUUUCAGGGAAAACAGUCUAAGGACAAGGAGAAGGAGCCGGACAAGGCCGAAGACAAAGAUGACAGUGAGGGAGGAUAUCCGCAUAUCAACUCCACUCUGAUGAUCUUCGCAGAUGUGGAAAGCAGAAGUCGACUGAAAGUGAUUAACCGAGAGGUUAACAUGGUUGCCCCAGCAAAGGCAAAUUAUCUGAAGUGGUCUCAAACACCCAUCACAUUCGACCAAUCUGAUCACCCGAAUCAUAUUGCCACCCCUGGGAGGCAAGCUUUGGUGGUCGAUCCAGUUGUCGAAGGCACUCGACUGACAAAGGUGCUGAUGGACGGUGGGAGUGGGUUGAAUCUGUUAUAUGCAGACACGUUGAAAGGUAUGGGCAUUUCGAUGUCCCGGCUGAGCACUAGUAACAUGAGCUUCCAUGGAGUUAUACCAGGGAAGAAGGCCGAGUCACUCGGCCAGAUAGCUUUGGACGUAGUGUUUGGCGAUUCAAAGCAUUUUCGCAAAGAAAAGUUGACGUUUGAGGUCGUGGAUUUUCAAAGUGCAUAUCAUGCCAUUUUGGGGAGACCAGCCUAUGCACGGUUCAUGGCUCGACCAUGUUACGUGUACCUCAAAUUGAAGAUGCCCGGUCCCAAAGGUGUGAUCACUGUCACCGGUGAUAGGAAAAAGGCUGAGGAGUGCUUUCAGAAGGGCUCCAAAAUUGCCGAUUCCCAAGUGACAGCGGUCGAGUUCGAAGAAUACAAGCAAAACGCAGAUCCGAGUGACUUGCUGCGAUCCAAGAAGCCCGCCACAGAAUCUGCAUUCCAGUCGUCCGGUGAGACGAAGCCUGUUCACAUUCACCCGACCGACCCCGAAGCAGCUCCGACCCGCAUCUCCACAACACUCGACCCAAAAUAGGAAGAAGCGCUCAUCCAGUUCCUCCGUGAGAACUGGGACAUUUUUGCAUGGAAGCCCGCUGACAUGCCAGGUGUUCCCAGGGGACUGGCUGAGCAUCGCCUAAGAGUCGACUCGUCUGCAAAGCCAGUCAAAGAACAUCUUCGGCGGUCCGCCGUCCAGAAGAGAAAGGCCAUCGGUGAAGAAGUGGCUCGACUGUUGGCGGCAGGAUUUAUCCGAGAGAUAUUCCACUCCGAGUGGCUCGCUAAUGUCGUCAUGGUUCCUAAAAAGGACAAGUCGCUCCGAAUGUGCAUUGAUUUCAAGCACAUCAACAGGGCCUGCCCGAAAGAUCACUUUCCUCUCCCUCGCAUAGAUCAAAUUGUUGACUCGACCGCGGGAUGCGAGAGGUUGUCUUUUUUAGAUGCUUACUCCGGGUACCACCAGAUCCGUCUAUAUGGGCCCGAUGAAGUAAAAACAGCUUUCAUCACUCCAUUCGGGUGCUUCUGCUAUAUCACCAUGCCAUUCGGCCUCAAGAAUGCCGGAGCCACAUUUAUGCGAAUGAUCCAGAAGUGUCUACUCACUCAAAUCAGUCGGAAUGUGGAAGCUUAUAUGGAUGAUAUUGUUGUCAAGUCACGAAAAGGUUCCGACCUGCUCGCUGACCUCGCCGAAACAUUUGCCAACCUCAGAAGGUAUGAUAUCAAGCUCAAUCCAUCAAAGUGCACAUUUGGAGUUCCUGGUGGCAAGUUACUCGGUUUUCUCGUUUCCGAACGGGGAAUCGACGCCAACCCAGAAAAGAUUGGCACUAUUCUCCGAAUGAAACGCCCUGUGCGAGUGCACGAUGUCCAGAAGCUUACUGGAUGCUUGGCCGCAUUAAGUCGAUUCAUCUCACGACUCUGUGAAAAGGCAUUGCCUCUUUACCGACUGAUGAAGAAGGCUGACAAGUUCGAGUGGACUCCAGAAGCUGAUGCAGCGUUUGCCGAGCUAAAAGCUCUGCUCUCCACCCAGCCGGUGCUUGCUGCUCCAAUCAGCAAAGAGCCUCUGUUGCUCUACAUCGCAGCCACAGGACAAGUCGUCAGUACUGUGCUAACGGUCGAGCGGGAAGAAGAAGGAAAAGCUCUCAAAGUUCAGCGCCCAGUGUAUUAUUUGUCUGAAGUCUUGACUCCAUCCAAGCAGAGAUAUCCUCAUUAUCAGAAGCUUGUGUAUGGAAUAUACAUGACCACAAAGAAGGUUGCUCAUUAUUUCUCUGACCAUUCAAUCACAGUCGUCAGCGACACUCCACUAUCAGAGAUUUUGCACAACAGAGAUGCAACUGGUCGAGUGGCCAAAUGGGCGAUUGAACUUCUUCCCCUUGAUAUCAAGUUUGAGGCAAAGAAAGCCAUUAAGUCCCAGGCAAUAGCAGAUUUCCUCGCCGAGUGGAUCGAACAGCAGCAGCCGACUGAAGUUCACUCGGAGCAUUGGACCAUGUUUUUCGAUGGUUCUAAGAUGUUGAAUGGUUCCGGUGCUGGGGUUGUCCUGGUUUCCCCCAGAGGAGAUAAGCUCAGAUAUGUGCUCCAGAUUCACUUUGAUUCCUCCAACAAUGAGGCAGAAUAUGAGGCCCUCCUAUAUGGGUUGCGCAUGGCCAUUUCACUCGGCGUCCGUCGCCUAAUGGUCUAUGGCGACUCGGAUUUAGUGGUCAAUCAGGUGAUGAAAGAGUGGGACGUGAGAAGCCCAGCCAUGACUGGAUACUGCAGUGCAGUGAGGAAGCCGGAGAAAAAGUUCGAGGGGUUGGAGCUCCAUCAUAUACCCCGACUGAAAAAUCAAGCAGCUGAUGAUCUAGCAAAGAUAGGUUCCAAGAGAGAAGCCAUUCCGAGUGGUGUGUUCUUGGAGCAUAUACAUACUCCGUCAGUCAAAGAAGAUCCUUUCACCGAAGAAACUCCGCAGCCCAAGAGUGCCACAGAUCCGACUGAAGUUGAAGUCCCAGCGGUGGUCGACUUGAUCAUGGAGGUUUUGGUAGUCAUUCCCGACUGGACGAUUCCGUAUGUCGCAUAUAUCUUGAGGAAAGAGCUUCCGGAGGAUGAGGAAGAGGCUCGACAGAUCGUCCGUCGAUCUAAGGCCUUUACCGUCAUCAAAGGACAAUUAUACAGAGAGAGCACGACUGGAGUCGGUCAGAAGUGCAUAACACCAGAAGAAGGUCGUCUCAUCCUCAAUGAUAUUCACUCGGGGACCUGUGGUCAUCAUGCGUCCUCCCGGACCAUCGUGGCCAAAGCAUACCGAGCCGGAUUUUACUGGCCCAAGGCGAAUGAGAUGGCAAAGGAGAUAGUGGAUAAGUGCGAGGGAUGUCAGUUCUACUCGAAUAUGUCGCACAAACCUGCGUCAGCUUUGAAGACCAUCCCACUCGUCUGGCCUUUUGCAGUCUGGGGGCUGGACAUGGUCGGCCCUUUGAGAACAGGACGAAGUGGCUUCACGCAUGUACUGGUGGCAGUCGACAAGUUCACCAAGUGGAUCGAGGCUAAACCAAUCAAGAGCCUCGACACCGGUACUGCUGUUAGCUUCAUCAGGGAACUAAUAUUCAGAUAUGGAGUCCCGCACAGCAUCAUUACGGAUAAUGGGUCGAACUUUGACUCAGAGGAAUUCAGAACCUUCUGCAACUCCCAGGGCACACGGGUCGACUACGUAUCAGUCGCCCAUCCGCAGUCGAAUGGACAAGCAGAGCGAGCUAAUGGACUGAUUCUCAAGGGACUGAAGCCGCGACUGAUGCGUGAUCUCAAACACGCGGCUGGAGCUUGGGUCGACGAACUUCCAUCUGUACUCUGGGGACUGCGGACCACGCCCAAUCGGUCGACCGGAAGAACUCCAUUCUUCUUGGUCUAUGGAGCCGAAGCAGUCUUGCCGAGUGAUCUUCUCCACAAUGCUCCUCGAGUCGAAAUCUACAACGAAGCAGAAGCUGAACAAGCGCGGCAGGACGCAGUCGACCUUUUAGAGGAAGAAAGGGAGAUGGCUCUGAUCCGGUCGACCAUCUACCAACAAGAUCUGCGCCGUUUCCACGCCCGAAAUGUGAGAGGUCGAGCCUUCCAGGAAGGGGAUUUGGUUCUCCGAGUGGAUCAGCACAAACCACACAAGCUUGCUCCUUCUUGGGAAGGCCCCUUCAUCGUCACCAAGGUUCUCCACAACAGGGCGUACCGUCUUUACAACGUCGAGCAUAAUAUCGACGAGCCCCGAGCUUGGAACGCGGAGCUACUCCGCCCAUUUUACACUUAAGUUUUAUCACUCGGAUGAGUUGCAAUAAAGUACUUUUGUAGUUCAUGGGUUUAGAAAUAAUUGUGUCAUCACUUUUUAUUUUUGUCCACAUAAAAACUCCCCCUCAGUGGGUGGCUUAGCCGCGAAUCCGUUUCGCCUAAGUUUGUAAAAAUCCUAUCGAGUGGUGAGCCAGACUCUCACUCGGAGGCUUAGCUGCGAAUCCGUUUCGCCUAAGUUUAUCAAAAUCCUACCGAGUGGUAAGCCAGCCUUCCACUCGGGGGCUUAGCUGCAGUCCAAGCACUCGCCUAAGUUUAUCAAAAUCCUACCGAGUGGUAAGCCAGCCUUCCACUCGGGGGCUUAGCUGCAGUCCAAGUGCUCGCCUAAGUUAUAAAAAUCCUACCGAGUGAAGAGCAACCCUCUCACUCGGGGGCUUAGCUGCAGUCCAAGCACUCGCCUAAGUUGUGAAAAUCCUACCGAGUGAAGAGCGAUCCUCUCACUCGGGGGCUUAGCUGCAGCCUCGUGCUCGCNNNNNNNNNNNNNNNNNNNNNNNNNNNNNNNNNNNNNNNNNNNNNNNNNNNNNNNNNNNNNNNNNNNNNNNNNNNNNNNNNNNNNNNNNNNNNNNNNNNNNNNNNNNNNNNNNNNNNNNNNNNNNNNNNNNNAAUCCUACCGAGUGAAGAGCAACCCUCUCACUCGGGGGCUUAGCUGCAGUCCAAGCACUCGCCUAAGUUGUGAAAAUCCUACCGAGUGAAAAGCGAUCCUCUCACUCGGGGGCUUAGCUGCAGUCCAAGCACUCACCUAAGUUUAUCAAAAUCCUACCGAGUGGUAAGCCAGCCUUCCACUCGGGGGCUUAGCUGCAGUCCAAGGGCUCGCCUAAGUUAUAAAAAUCCUACCGAGUGAAGAGCGACCCUCUCACUCGGAGGCUUAGCUGCAGCCCAGUGCUCGCCUAAGUGGACUAAAGAAUAAGUCGAUUGCGGUACAGGCACCUUGCUUUGAACCUGCAAAAGACAUUCCGAGCCGAAGGCAAUCAUAUUCAAGCGCCAAAUUCAAGUUUGAAUCGAUAUCUAAAGGAACCGAAAGUGCUCGGGCGUCAAGCCUGUUAAGGUUUGUCGGUUACAAUUCCACUCGGCAUACCGAGGCAAAUUUAAAGUGUCGAGCCAGAAGAAGUUUUUUACCCCUCCUGCGGAGGGCUGGAAGGUGCAACAAAUUCAUCAAGGUCAAUUCCGUCGGCGAUCCGAGUGGCAGCUGCAAGGAAAGUCUCCAUAAAGGACCUGAAGUCGUGCUUCUUGGUAUUGGCCACCCGAAGGGCCGCCAGCUUCUCCUCUCGUGCAUCUUUGCAGUGGACUCGGGCCAGACACAGAGCGACAUCUGCACCACACCGAGCCGAGGACUUCUUCCACUCCUGCACUCGACCAGGGAUCGUGUUCAAGCGGGCCAUCAGCGACUCAAGGUCAUUCUGAAGUGUCUCCUCAGGCCAGAGCGUCGAGUCGAUGCGAGAUGUGGCGGCCUUCAGCCUUGCGAGAUAGUCCACGACAGCUGCGACACGAGACUCCAGUCGGAAAACAUCCAUGGCAACUUCGUCGUUCACCGGAGAAUUGACGGGGUCAAGGUUUGGCUCCAGUCGGCUGGUUUCCUCUUCAAAGUUUUGACAAAAUUCUGCAAGGGCGAUCACUAAGUCAAGGGGAUAGUCGAAUGGAAGAAGCCACAGUUGGAAAUAUUUGCCAAACAUGGAGGUUUACCUUCAAGCAUAAGAAACAGCUUCUUGGCAAGGCCACUCAGGAAGGCCUCCAGUUCAGUUUUCUUCUCAGUCAAUUUGCUGACUUGGUCGGUCAAGGCAGCUUUGUCAGUUCUCAGUCGACUGACUUCCUUGUUGGCAAUCCCAAGAGCAGUUUUCAGAUUGGUAUUGUCUUGUUCGAGCUUGGUGACUGAAGCUAACUUCUCGUCAGCAAGCUUGAUCUUCUCAGCUAGCUCAAGGUCUUUCUUCUGCUGGGCCUCCCUUACCUUACCUGCAAGUUACAGCGAGAUCAGAUGCCGAAACAAGCAAGGGGAAAAGCAGUCGUCAGGGUCUCACCAAACAUACCUUCGGUCUCCUCCUUUGCCUUUGUCAGCUUCUCCUGAACCAGCUUCAAGCUCAGCUCGACUUGAGUAUGCUUUUGUUCCAGCUCUGAGUAGCGAGCCACAAGAUCACAGGAGUUCUGCGAAGAACCAAUCGACUAAACGUCAAAUGUAACUCACUUCCGAGUGAAAAAGGGAAAAACACACGUUUCUAAGACUACAGCCGAAUACAAGCAUUCGACCGUAGUCUCGGGGACUACACCCAGUGGGUGCACUCAGCGUGCCCCCACUAAUCCUGUUGAAGACAAAGUCGACCAGUCGACCUCAAAAAAAAAAAACAGUGUGCGAGACGCAUUCUCUAAGACUGUGAUCAACUGCAAGCAGUCGACCACAGUCUCGGGGACUACACCCAGUGGGUGCACUCAGCGUGCCCCCACCGGUUUGCGAAAUCCAGUCGACCAGUCGACUGACAGAAAGAUUGACAUCAUAAAGCCUAAGGCCGACUGCCAGCAGUCGACCUUAGCCUUGGGGACUACACCCAGUGGGUGCACUCAGCGUGCCCCCACCGGUUUGCGAAAUCCAGUCGACCAGUCGACUGACAGAAAGAUUGACAUCAUAAAGCCUAAGGCCGACUGCCAGCAGUCGACCUUAGCCUUGGGGACUACACCCAGCGGGUGCACUCAGCGUGCCCCCGCUAACACGGAGUUUAUUCGACACACCCAGUGGGUGACUAAUAUAAAUUCCGGAAAAGAAAAGUUUUUGGUAGCAUAUCCAACAGAACAAACAGAACUGGCGUCAUAAGCUGCCUGGCUCGCGUCCCGGAUGGUCUUCAGCUGCUCCAUCAUGAGUCCCGCCUGGCGUAUCGCCUCCUUCGCUGCGCCAGCUUGGUCCUCUGGGACGUGGUGCGUCAUGAAGAGGGAAGGCUGCUGAGCACUCGUCAGUGGAUUCGCGAAGGUCACCGUGUGUCGAGUGGUGUUCUCUUCCUCCACAGCCAGAAUUUCAGGCGCCGGCACAUCCUGAGGCACCUUACUGGCGGACGCUUUCCGACUCGUCCUGUGCUUCAGCGGCUCUUCAUCCUCAUCAUCAUCAGGAAGAUCGAUAACAGUGUUGGGUGGAGCUGCGGAGAAGGAUCAGGAUCAGAGAUCGCGAGUCAGUCGACUAAGAAUGGUAUUAAGAACACAGUACCUGGAUUCGAAGUUGCUGCAUCCUCCAUCUCGUGGUCAUCGGCCCGGGCCGAGGUCUCAGAAGUAGCAGCACUGCAACUCCAAAGGAUCAGUCGACUAACCUCAGCGUCGACCAGAGAUAAAGUUCGCACAGAAUAAGAAAAUAUGAGCAACACAAUUACCCUGAUAUGGUGGGGAUGGACACCUUCAUCUUCGGCAGGAGCUUGGUCGGCUUCGAUGAGGCCGCCCUGGGCUGCUUCGGCGCCUUUUCAGUCGGCGCCGGAGAGGUGGUCCGAGGGCGCUUGGUCGACUGAGUGGCGGUCACAACCCCCUUACCACGUUCGGUCGAAGGGUCGUGGACAAGCUUCGACCGCCUUUCUGAGCGCGGUGGAACGACCUCCUCCUCCUCUUCUUCCUCGUCCUCGAUGUCAUCUUCAUCACCUUCAUCAUCAUCAUCGUCGUCAUCAUCCCCUGCAGCAUCCGAGUCCCAUUCCUCCUCUUCCUGGCUCUCGCCCCCGCUCGCCUCGCCCCCGCUCGCCUCGCCUUCCUCAGUCGAAGCUUGUGCCCCAUUGGGCAUCGAGUACAGCUCGGUGAAGGCCUAGCAGAUGCCCAAACAAGGAUCAGUCGACCAGUCGGCAGGGUUAGCAGAAAUGAAUACGACAAGGACACAAUGGAAAGCAGAGCAAGUGUACCUUGUUUGGGUCGCUGUUGUGGUCGAGUGGAGGAAUCCUUCUGGCUCCGCGCAGGUUGUCCCUGUUUCCGGUAACGGCUACCAUCCAUCUUUCCAGAGUGGCAUCGUCGACUUCUUCUGGAUGGACUCUAGUCUCGUCUUCGGGCCCACAGUACAACCACAUGCAGUGGCUCCGGAAUUGAAGGGGUUGGAUGCGACGCCUGAGGAAGACCUCCAGAAGAUCCAUGCCCGUCACCCCCUCCCGAACCAACUGCACCACGCGCUCCAUCAACAUCUUUACGUCGGCUUUCUCCUCCGGAAUCAGCUUCAGAGGGGAGGGCUUGUUCACUCGGUCCAUGGUAAACGGAGGGAGUCCGCUCGACUGCCCUGGCGUCGACUGGACCUGACAGUAGAACCAAGUCGACUGCCAUCCUCUGACGGACUCGGGAAAGGACAUGGGCGGGAAGGUGCUAUUAUUCCUCACCUGAAUCCCCAGGCCCCCACACAUUUGGACGACUCGGGUCUUCUCAUCACCUGGGCUCGCCUUCUUCACGGUCUGAGAGCGACACGUGAAGAUACGUUUGAACAAACCCCAGUGCGGUCGACAGCCCAAGAAACCCUCACACAUGGACGCGAAUGCAGCAAGAUAGGCAAUGGAGUUUGGGGUAAAGUGGUGGAGCUGCGCUCCAAAGAAAUUCAAGAAGCCACGGAAGAAAAUGCUUGGCGGCAAGGAAAAUCCACGAUCAACAUGAGUGGCCAGAAGCACACACUCACCCUCUUCUGGCUGUGGCUGCCACUCCUUCCCCGGCAACCUCGCAGCUCCGUGAGGGAUCAAGCCCUCGUUGGCCAUGUCGAGGAGGUCCUUCUCCGUGAUGGUCGACUGGAUCCAGUCUCCUUGGACCCAGCCUUUUGGCAGGCGGGAUCUGGACGAGGACCCUCUGCGGCUGGUGGAUCUCCCCUUCGCCUUCUCCGAUGCCGACGCCUUCUUGGCACGCUCCAGCGCCACCGUCUUCUCCUUGGCCAUGGUCGCCGGUGAGAUGCACGAAGGGAAGUGGUGCGGGGGCGAGAGCAAGCACGAUGAGCAGGGAGGAAGGAAGCAGAGGGAGAGAGGGAGAAUGCUGAGGCGCAGCACAGAAAUCCUCGCCGGGCACAUUUAUAAGGUCCCUUCCGAGUGGCUGACAUGUGGGCCCGGUCGAUCUAAUCAUAUCUGGGAGCAGUUAUGAGGACUGGAUACGUGGCGAAAAAGGCGGCGCGGAGAUCGAGGCGUCUAUGCCCCGUCCCAUCCGAACGCCGCGGUCUGCCCCGCUUCGCGCGCGCCCCCAAAUUUCGCACCCCGCGGAAUCCGCGAGCAACAAAUCAGUCUGUCAGACGCGGUGUUUCCGGCGAUCCGUCGCUCGGAGAUCGUCGAAGCUCGAAAGAUCACUCGACGCAAAAAUAGAAUGGAUCGAGUCGACCGAAGACAAAUUGCUCCCUGUCAACGAAGAGAUUCUUUGAUCCAGAACAGCGCACAACUAGAGCGCAAAGGUUAAUCGGAAACGACAUCAACUCCUUCUUCACUCGAAGCCUCAAUCCAUUCGGGGGCUAAUGAUGGGGUUAUGUACCUAGGGUAGGGUCAUGGACCUGAUCCAAGUAACUUACCCUAGGACAUCCCUAGAAGAGGUCGCCUUCCAGUCGACCAACGAGGAUUCACUCGACUGGCCUGAAGGACUCGACCACGAAGACUCACUCGACCACCAGGAGGUCAAGAGGCACUCUGCACCGCAACGGCCUGUAAUUAAGUAGACUUUAUGAUAGUAAAGGCACUUUAUGUGGGGCGUUACCAGUAACGCCCCAGACUUAACUCACCUUAAACCCUCUCCUACGUGGGCUGGCUGGGGUCCUGGCGCACUCUAUAUAAGCCACCCCCCUCCACAGGCAGAAGGGUUCGGCACCUUGUAAUCCAUACAUUCAUAAUCCACUCGACCGCCUCCGGGCUCCGAGACGUAGGGCUGUUACUUCUUCCGAGAAGGGCCUGAACUCGUACAUCCUUUGUGCUUACAACCUCUCCAUAGCUAGGACCUUGCCUCUCCAUACCUACCCCCCACUCUACUGUCAGGCUUAGAACCACGACAGUCAUAGUUGGGAAGCGGAUUAGGAGCACUCGGGUGCUCCACCCCCCCUAUAUUUAAAAAUAAUUUAAUAAUUAAAAAAAAGCCAAAAAAAAUCUUGGAUAUAUUUUUGAACCAAAUAUGACUAGGUAUUGUACUCAUAUAAAAUGUUUGGCCAAGGAAUAAUUCCCGUUGACUUCAGGGCAAAAAAACCAAAUUUAUGACGACAAUAUAGCAUGAAUAGUACUUGUAUCUAGCAUUUUUUGGGAAAUCUUUGACCACGGAUACAAUAUAAGUCAUUUCCUAUUUAAAUAUUUUUAUACGAGUGCAAUACCUGGUCAUGUUUGAUACCAUAAAAAGUUCCGAGAUUUUUUGACUUUUUUUGAAUUACUAAAUUAUUUUUGAAUAUAGGGGGGCGUAGCACCCGAGAGCUCCUAUGCGUUUUCGUCAUAGUUGUGACUAUUUACACCUGUAACUGCUAUAGUUAUGGGCAUUAAUCACCCUGGUGACUUGGGAAUGAAGGAGGCUGCGACGCACUGUACAUAAGCCGUCCUCCUCCUCUAGAGCAAGGGUUAAGCACUCUGUAAUCGUACCCCCCCUCCCCCCAAGAAAACAAGCCUCACGGCAUGAGACGUAGGACUGUUACCUCCUCUGAGAGGGGUCUGGACUCGUAAACGACCGAGUGUUACACAUGUGUCGUACUUAGGCCCUGCCCCUAUUUCAUACCCCUAGUACUCAUUGUCAGGAUCGUAACCCCGACAUCUCCCACUUGUUUCCCAUUACUUGGUGGUUAUUCAUUGGCAGAGUGGCUCUUUUAUUCUCCCCUACAGCUUCUUCCUCUUCCUCAUCCAAUCCAAUGGGCCGGUUCAAGUUUGAGCCAUCAUUUGUCUUCAACUUCUUUGGCCUUUCUUGAGGUUUUCCACAACUUGUAUCCACUCUGGUUGGCCAUUCAAUUUAAUCCAAGAAUGGCUAAAACCGAAUGGCUUCUUCUUGGUUGCUGGUACAAAGUGGCCGCCAACACCACCUAUCAAAAAACAAAGUUAUCAUGAUAAUCGGACGUAAAAAAUAUUAGUGCAAAUUACGACAAAGCAAAUCAGUUCAACUUAGAUGAUUUUGGACUCCAAUCCAACUUUGAUUCCGGCCAUGCGGAAGCACAGUGGCCAACAAACUUGUUGAUGCGCUCUCGGAUGGUGGACCAUCUGUGUAGGAGAGAGACCAGAUUAUGGGUUAUAUUGUUCGGAUUCGGCUCCACAUAUUCCUUGUGUUCAUGAUACUGCUUCUAAAUCUUCUCCCAAUACUUGCUGGUCUUCUCCUUUGUGCCACAUAUAGGGUCCAAUCUUGUGGCCAACCAAUAUUAAACCAACAAAACAUCCUCCACUACUAGGAAAACGGCUAUAGAUGAAAUGGACACUAAUGACGAACCACGUGUGUGGUGCGCCAUUAGAAUAUAGCAAUGGCGCAUCACAUAUAGGUACACCAUUAGUAAUAUAGUAAUAUAUUACUAAUGGCACACCUGGUGUGCGGUGCCCCAUUAGAAGUUUUGAAAAAAAAAUUGUUACUAAUGGCGCACCGUGGGUGUGGUGCGCCAUUAAUAGUUGACACAGUAAUGGCGCACCACACCCACGGUGCGCCACUAGAAGUUCGGAAAAAAAGGGCAACCUGGUGCAUGUAGCUCCCACUUGCGCAGGGUCCAGGGAAGGGUCCGACCACUUUGGGUCUAUAGUACGCAGCCUUUCCNNNNNNNNNNNNNNNNNNNNNNNNNNNNNNNNNNNNNNNNNNNNNNNNNNNNNNNNNNNNNNNNNNNNNNNNNNNNNNNNNNNNNNNNNNNNNNNNNNNNNNNNNNNNNNNNNNNNNNNNNNNNNNNNNNNNNNNNNNNNNNNNNNNNNNNNNNNNNNNNNNNNNNNNNNNNNNNNNNNNNNNNNNNNNNNNNNNNNNNNNNNNNNNNNNNNNNNNNNNNNNNNNNNNNNNNNNNNNNNNNNNNNNNNNNNNNNNNNNNNNNNNNNNNNNNNNNNNNNNNNNNNNNNNNNNNNNNNNNNNNNNNNNNNNNNNNNNNNNNNNNNNNNNNNNNNNNNNNNNNNNNNNNNNNNNNNNNNNNNNNNNNNNNNNNNNNNNNNNNNNNNNNNNNNNNNNNNNNNNNNNNNNNNNNNNNNNNNNNNNNNNNNNNNNNNNNNNNNNNNNNNNNNNNNNNNNNNNNNNNNNNNNNNNNNNNNNNNNNNNNNNNNNNNNNNNNNNNNNNNNNNNNNNNNNNNNNNNNNNNNNNNNNNNNNNNNNNNNNNNNNNNNNNNNNNNNNNNNNNNNNNAAAAAUAAAAGAAAAUAAGUUUGCCAUGUGAUAUGUGGUCUAGUUGUUGGGAAAAUUUACAAAUAUAAAUUUUGACUUUAUUUGCAAAAUCUCUCUGAAAAUUUGUAAAAUGGGCAUAACUUUUGUAUACGAACUCGGAUUAAAAAGUUUUAUAUAUGAAAAAUCAUCUACUCGAAAAGUUACAUCCGAAUUUAACUGGGGGAACCCCGUUAAACAUUUUCAAAAUCCCCAAAAACCUAACACAAAAAAAAGGUUUUGAUUUUUUUAAAAAAAUUUCUUUUCAAAAAAUGAUACGUAAUAUGACCGGGAAGUUUGAAAUAUUUUUCAAAAUUUCAUCAUAGUCAUGAACAUGAACAAAGUCCUAGAUAUCAACAAGGUAUAAUAGGAUUGAUAUGCUAGAUAUAUCAACAAGUGCCUGUGAAGUGAGCUGUUGCUAGGGUUGGAUAGAACUCUGAAGUUAAGCGUGCUUGGGCUAGAAAAAAAAUUGUUGAUGUCAUUAGAAAAAAAAUUCUAAUGGCGUGGUGCUAGUGGCGCACCAGUAGUGCGCCAUUAGUAGCAAAAAUAGGUGCGCCACUAGCAGCCCUUUUUCUAAUAGUGCUCAAUUGUUGUGAAUAUCAGGCCUCUUGCAUUGGGUAUCUUUGCCCUUUUCUUCUUAGUGCGCAUGUCCCCCAACAUAAAAAGUAAGAUAAUUUGGAACCCCCAAGCCAUAUUGCGUAGGGUCCGUAGGCUCUUGCCCCUCAUCGAUCAUGUUCGACAUGAAAUUUUCCUAAAAUGAUCAUGACUCAAAAUAAACUAACGUAAUAUGCAACUAAUUGAUUUAGUGGCAUAUGCAACUAACUAAUCCAGAACAUCAUAGUCAAUAUAGUGAACGAAGCGAUAAAAAUGGAGCAAAAUUUGUACCAUCUCCUGAUGUGUCAUUCUGUCGAAUAGGAAUGGGCAGACAAGGCAUGUUGUCUCCAUGGACAGAUAUUUCCAUGAUCUCGGUUGAGAUCGAAGUUUAUGUUGAUUCCCAUUGUAUUGCAAGGACUGCUUAGCUGGGACUGUAUGAUCCACAAAUGACGGAGUCACAUCCGACAGAUCUCGGGUAAUGGGUCCCGAGCUAAGUGUGGCCCACCAGCGAUGGAGUCAGAUCCAACAGAUCUCCGGUAGGGGGUCCUAAGCUAAAUGUCUCGACACGAUGGAAAUAUGGGCAUAUGUUUUUACCCAUGUUCGGGCUCUCCUUACAGAUAAACCCCUACGUCUUGCUUGUGUUUGUACUGCUUUGGGAUGAAGUACACGGUAUAGGUGGUCCACCUCGAGGUUGUUGUGUGUUUCUAGAUUUGAUAAUCUAAAUUCUGUUCAACUCUCUAGCCCGGCCUCGACUUAUAUAAGAAAACCGAAGGCCUAGGUUUACAGAGUCCUGGUUAGCUACGUCAGUGGAGAAGAAUCCUCCACGAGUAAGGAGUACUUGACUUGAACGACAAGACUUCUUGAUUUUCCUCGGAGAUCGCCAUGGGCCGCCCAAAAUGGCCCAGGAUGGAACCGACAAGGGGGUCCUUAGCCCGACCCACCUUGGCUGGGAGUCGACAUGGUGAGAGUGAAAGCUCCAAGGUUGCAACAAGUGACGCACAUACAGUGCGCCACUUAUCACAACCUGAGGAGGUGAGAGUGACCUUUGCAAAGAGUGAUCCUUAAUUAGUGAUUUUGGAUUGCCAAACCCUUCUACCGUUGAGAGGUCCUAGUAUGUGCAUUCAGCGCCAUGAACUAUCUUGGGGCUCACCGCUGCUCCUUUCGCAUGUUCGCCCUUGUCAUAUGUCGUUCAAUCCAUUUUUUUAUCCGCUCUCUUACAGUCCAUGAACUUAAAAAAAAUAUGAAAAUAAAAAAGAAUUACGAACUAGAAAAAAAAUUAUGAAUUUGAAAAAGUUCAACGGGUAGACUUUUGACAAGCUGACCAUUAACCAUUGACCUUUGACCAUAUAUGUUGUUCGUAGAUUUUUUUUGGAAAAAAAUCAUAUAUUUGAGAAAAAGAUCACAAAAUUUGACAAAAGUUUGCAAGUUUGAAACAAAGUUUGUAAAUUUGAAACAAGUUCGUGAUUCCAGUUGGAAAAAGUUCAUAGAUUUGAAUAAUGUUCAUGAAUUUAAGAGAAAUUUCACCUAUUUGAAUAGAAAUUUCAUUAAUUUGAAAAAAGUUCUCAAUUUCGAAUUUGAAAAGACCUCAUGGAUUCAAAAAAAUGUUCACAAAGUUGUAAGAGAAUCACUAAUUUGAAAAAAGUUCAUGGAUUCAAGGAAAGUUCAUGAAUUUGAAAACAAUUCACAAUUUGGGAAAUUUUAUGAAUUUAGUAUUUUUCGAUUUUUUUUAAGUUCAUGCAUCUGAAAAAAAAUGAUCAAUUUAAAAUGAAAACGGAAAAAGUGUAAAAGCUGGUCCAGAAAAAUAAGGUCCGAAGCUUCCAAAAACCGGGACGAGCGCCUCCCACGAAAGUGCAUUACGUGGGCCGGCAAAACUACCCUAGCAAAGAAUGACCUGAACCUAAGCGAUGUCUCAAAUCUCGAUGCCACGAGCAAUCAAGGCGAUGCCUUCAGAAGGAAAACAACGCCGUGACACACAAGCUUUGCAUAUUCAUGAGAGAAGACCAAAAUAACAGUACGUGCCUCAUUGCUUAUUUUGUUUCCUCAUAUAACAGUACGUGCAGUUCAACCCAGGUGUAUAUGUGUAUCCCGCCACUUCUAUCGUUAGGAAAGACUAUAAAUACAUCCAUUCAUCUACGUAUCUCUCACGCUCUUUACUUUUGGCUUGCAAUAAUAAUACGACCAAAGAGACUAGCGCACCACAAUACUACAUAUACCCAUGCUGAUAAUCAUACACCCGUCAAUUCUAGCUGUGUCCAGGUCGAAGUAACAGACGGGAACAUCACGGUGGUGAUGCAAGAGACUAGCGCGUUUGGACGCUUCGCAUCACCUACCUUUGGAUGCCUCGCAUGAAUCAAGUCGUGUCGUCCGCUAGCUUCCGCCUACCACCCACGGAGCAGAGCCAGCGAGCAACUAACACCGGCCAACUACCCACUGGAGUUGAAUGCAGGACGUCCAAGGUGUGCCCGUCAACCAUUCUGCUGACCGUAGUCAUGGCGAGCUGGUGCAAUUCAGUGCAUGCUCUAGGUCUAGGGUAGAGUGUUCAACGGAUUGUUACAGCGGCCGUGGGCGAUUCAUUAGACGGCUCCCCGCAGGUGGACGUCGUCGCAUUUCACUUUAUCUUUCUUUAAUCGCUUACCUGCUCCGUCGGCGGCGAUGGCCGCGUACGCUCCCUACGUGUCGCCGCAUGGCAUGCACAUGGACCGAUGGCCGGCUCGGGCCACGGCAGUGCGUGGCCAGCUAUAAAUACCCCAGCCGGGAGCUCCUAGAUCCAUCUCCACACAACUACCAGUACACUCCACUCCCAUCACACACACGGACACACCUGCAAGAGCGAGAGCGUGAGCCAUGGCGGGCAUGGGGAAGCAGCCGGUGGUGGCGGCGCUGAUGCUGGCGCUGGUGGUGCUGGCGGCGGCGCCGGGCGGGGCGCACGCGGCGUGCCAGGCAUCGCAGCUGGCGGUGUGCGCGUCGGCGAUCCUGAGCGGGGCCAAGCCGAGCGGUGAGUGCUGCGGCAACCUGAGGGCGCAGCAGGGGUGCUUCUGCCAGUACGCCAAGGACCCCACCUACGGGCAGUACAUCCGCAGCCCCCACGCGCGCGACACCCUCCAGUCCUGCGGCCUCGCCGUCCCCCACUGCUAGGCGCCGGCAGGCCCCUGGCGCAUAUGGCAAGCUAGCUGCCUCAGUGACCAUGAGAGCGUCAGACUAUAGCUAGCCCUAGCUGAGUGCGUGUUGCGUCCAUGAACGCAUCUUCCUGUCAACCAUGUGGUUCGACUUUGAUGAUGCUGGAAUAAAAAUAUAAAAUGUUGGGUGAUGAUCUACGGCGGCCAUGUUGCUUCUUGGCUGCUGCUGCUGGUAAUAAAAUUUGUGUUGCAACUUUGAUGAGAUCGGCUGAGUUGUGUUCAAUGACCAAACCAAACUGCCCCUAUCUUAGAAUUGUUAAAUCCAGUGGUGCGGUAUGUAGCGGCGAAGAAUCAAUCGUUAGUGCUUUUGGUGCAGUGACUUUAGGUAUAAGCGGUAUGAAUGGAAUACAUGGAAAUGCUUGUGGGCCCUCUGCAUNNNNNNNNNNNNNNNNNNNNNNNNNNNNNNNNNNNNNNNNNNNNNNNNNNNNNNNNNNNNNNNNNNNNNNNNNNNNNNNNNNNNNNNNNNNNNNNNNNNNNNNNNNNNNNNNNNNNNNNNNNNNNNNNNNNNNNNNNNNNNNNNNNNNNNNNNNNNNNNNNNNNNNNNNNNNNNNNNNNNNNNNNNNNNNNNNNNNNNNNNNNNNNNNNNNNNNNNNNNNNNNNNNNNNNNNNNNNNNNNNNNNNNNNNNNNNNNNNNNNNNNNNNNNNNNNNNNNAACCGCGAUAAAAUUUCUGCUCUUUUUUUUAGGGAAUUUCUACUCUGUUGCUAUAUGCUUUGUAAACAAUCGAAAUAUGCCUUCAAGGGCUCAAAAGAAUGUUUUUGGCUUUCUUAGUAACAUUUUAAUUCAUAGCGAGAGGAUCUUCGAAACAAGACCAAUCAUGGAUAAAACAUUGAACCAGUUUUUAUUUUAUUGUUGCUAUCCUAUUUCAAGUCAGUUUCUGUAAUUUACUCUUUCAAUCAUAUUUGAAAUCAUUUUCAUAUAAUAAGAAAACACAUCAUAGAUUAAAAACUAUUAGUUUCACACACUGAUUUUUUUUGAGGAAAUAUAAAUAGGUUUCCAACAUAAAAAAUCAUAUAUUAAAAGUAUAAGUUUACAUACUGAAAUGAGAAACUUCAGAAAAUAUAAACCAAUUUCACAAAUAAAAAUUAUGUUUCAUAUAUUGAAAAUAUCAACUUCACGCACUCUAAUGAGCAGUUAAAAAAUGUAAAUCAGUUUCACUCAUUGUAAAAUUAGGUUUCACAUUUUUAAAUAACCAGUUGUACUUCAAGAAAAUUCACAGUAACAUAGCUGACAAAAAGAUGUUCCAUGCAUUAUAAAUAUGAAUAUCUCACACUAUAGUAAGCAGCUUCCCAAAUUCUCGCCAAAAGACGAGUUUUGCGUUUUUUAAAGAAAAGGUAUAUAAGAUUUGUAGAAAAAUAGUUUCACAUAAUAAAAGAAACCGUUUAAAGCAUUGAAACAGAAAAUCCGUUUACUGGAUUCAAAAUCUUAGUUUCACACACUGAAAAGAAGUAGCUUAAAGAAAUUGUAAAUCAGUUUCACUCACCGACAAAAAGCACUUUCAUAUACAUGGUGGUAGCUACGCACGCAUGGUGGCAACUACACACCCUUUGUCAUAAGUGCCGUUUUUAUAUAUGAGGGAGUAGUAAGAAAAGUUAUAUAUGAGGUGUCGGGUUUCUUAUGGCAUUGCCACAAGUGCAUUUUUUGUUGUAUAGAAAUGACCUUUUCUCACUUAUCGUUGUUUAUAAAGGGACUUUUCUCAGUUCUCUUUGUCUUUUUGCUUGCCAUUUUGGUAUAAUUGCUUGUUUGCUUGCUUGGAUGGUACAACGUCACGAUAUUUUUGUUAUAGAGUUAUUUUUGGUAGUCCAAAAUAAUUUACCAAAAUAAUUAAAGAUAAAAAUCAGGGAUGUGCGUAGCUACCACCAUGGAUAGCAAAUUAUUUCUGAUUUUUGAAAUAACUUGUUUCACACAUUUGACAAUACAACACUUCCACAAACUUUCACACUUUGAAACAAAUUGUUUCAUAUAUAUGAGAACUAAUGGUUCACAUAAUUUAAAUAAUAAAUUUUACAAUUUUAAUUAUUGUGAAAUUAAUUUAUAUUUUGCUUGAUUUCACAUAUUUUGGUAUCCCAACUAAUUUUCUUCAGUAUUAAUUGAAAUGUUUAAAGCCAGAUCAUAGGUCUUGUUUUAGAUCUUCCGCAUAUUUCAUUUAUUUAGAUAAAGUGAUUUCAAAUAUCAUUAAUCACACAUAUAUCAAAAAAGUGAUUUGUACAAGUUUUUGUAUUUAAAAAACAUGAUUUCAUUUGAUUUAACCAAUUUUAGAAAAAAACAUGUUUCAAAUAAUAUAAAUGUGAUUGAAACAAUGAAAUUUAAAGAUGAUUGAAAUGUAUCCUUGAUUGGUUUUGUUCUAAUGAUCAUAUUGUCAGGAAUUCAAAUAUAUAUAAUUAUUUAAACUAUAAUUUUGGAUUAGAAGAUAUGAAUUAUCCAUAUUAUCAAAAACUGAAAAGAAAUGAAUUGUAUUUUUGUAUAACUCUACCACACAACUCUCUAUGCCCAAAUUGGCUAAACCAUUAUCCUUUAUUUCUGCUUUCUAAACAUUAACUUUUUUUGUUUUUAUUUCUGUUUGUUUUUCCUUUAUCUUUAUCUUUUUAGUUUAUGCUUUUCCACUUUUUUCCAUUUUAAGCUUCCUGAACUUUUUUGUUCAAUUUUCAAAAAAAAAAUCAAAGUCAUAAAUAAUUUUUAAAUUCAUAUAUUUUGUCAAUUUCGUAAACCUUUUUCACAUUCACCAUUUUUUCGUCCAAUUUUCAAAUCCUUGGCAGCACCGAGCGGGCAGCCAACAUGGACGAACUACUUGGCUGACCUACCGACUGGAUUUGAAUGCACUAGGUACGUCCAUACUACAUAAGUGUAGCCAUGCAUGCAUCAACCUCUUUGCUGACCCUAGUCAUGGCGAACUACGUACUGCAGUUCAGUAACUAGCCGGCUCGCGACAGGUGGAUUCUUAAUUAGCUAGCUAGGUUGCCAGCACUCCAAAUACUUGGCGAAGUAUCGGACGGUGCGUGGCCGUCUAUAAAUACACCGGGAGUCCAAACCACCAUUGUAGCAGUCCAUCACACUCAACACCUGCCACUGCGAGAGUGAGCGAGGAGCAGACCAACGUACGACGACGGCCAUGGCGAUGAGGAAGGAGGUCCUGCUGGUGGCCAUGAUGCUGGCGCUGGUUGUGGCGGCGCCAGGCGGGGCGCUCGCGGCGUGCGAGGUGGGGCAGCUGACGGUGUGCAUGCCCGCGAUCACCACCGGCGCGAAGCCGAGCGACGCGUGCUGUGGCAACCUGCGCGCGCAGCAGGCGUGCUUCUGCCAGUACGCCAAGGACCCCUCCCUCGCUCGCUACAUCACUAGCGCGUAGGGCUCAGCUAUAGGUAGGCUACCUCCCUCCAUGAGAGAUGAUAAGAGACUAUAGCUUAGCCUAGCUGAGACCUGAGAGAGUGCAUGCUGCGUCCAUGCACUCACGCAUGAUUCUGGAAUAAAAUGUUGGGUGAUGAUCGGUGCUGGAAUAAAAUGAGUUUUCCUACCUUCUCCUCUGUUUCCCCUCUCUGUCACUUGCUGCAAUCUUUUCAACGAAAACCACGUACAGGAAUUGGCAACCGUCCAAAAUACGCCCGAAAUUACGAUGAGUCACUCACAAAUAAGCCGCAUUGCAGCAGAAAACAUGAGAUGCUCUACAAAAUAGUGAUUGCUUUGCUGUACUGUUGGUUCCAUCGGGAUUGAGCACAAGAAGGCACAUCUUUGAUUCCUUGUACGAUGUGUGGCUUUGAACACUGUGGCACCUGCUCAUUAACUCGUGUGCAUUGAAUUCAUUUAUCAACCUUUAGUUUGGUGGUAUACAUCCCAAGUUCAGUUCCAUAAAAUCAAGCCUGCACUUUUUUUUGGAAGGGCAAAAGAUUUGACACAUUCAUUAAUUAAGAAUGAGCUUAAGAAAGUUGCUAACCCGGAGGCGAAACAAAUGCCUACUCUCCCAACAUAAUAUCACUCAAGUGUUGAGCCCCGGCUAACACCCACUUGCACGUUUCAUCUCGGAUCUUGUCAAUGACUCUCAAGAUGUUGUUGAAGACUCUCGAGUUGCACUCAUUCCAAAUUACCCAUGGACGUUACUCUAUGGCCUCUGCUAAUCAUGCACAAUUAAUGGGGGCAUGGUCACUUUGUUUUAGUCUACCAUUUAUAAAAUUUGGGCUCUUGACAGUUUUUGGGCAUGGUACUAUUCACAUCUCGACUUGUCUUUUUUGUUUCUCUUUGUAUAUUUCGGAUUUUGAUCUGAAUUUUUAGGGGUUGUAGACACAUGUGUUCUGAACAUUCACAAAAAAAUUACACAUCUAAAAUUGUAAUUUUCAAGCUGGUAUCAUGGGAGCACUUACAAUACUGGAAAAACUGUAUACGCUGACUUAUUUCAGCUAAGCCGAGAGCCAAAGCGCUGGCUCUCGGCAAAUUUGAUGAAUAUACCUUACUUAUAGUAUCUUUCCGGCAUUGGUGGAACAUAAUUCAGAUCCGUAACACACUGAAACUAGUUGAAGUCAUCCUUGUCAUGAAGGAGAAUGUAGUUAUGCAGCGUCAUAAUUGCCGCAACAAUCAUUUUUUGUGUUUCAAUCAAUCUUGAGUAGUAUUUUGCAUUUCAUUUUCAAAACAACAAAGGCCCUCUCUAUGCAAUUGCAUCCGCUUGGAGGAGCGGGUCUUUUCUAAUUUCUCCAUAGGAUUAGUAGGGGUGCACCUCUCCGCAUGGUGGUUUUCCUCAAAGUCACAUCCCCAUUCGGUAUCCCGCAACUUGAGUUUCGGGAAUAUGUUGUGAUCACCUUUUAGCUUGUCCCAUUUGAUUUUAAAUCAGACAUAUUUGUAUUCGAGCCUGAUUCACAUCUUGAAUUUCCUUCACACCUCCUCAAAUGCAUUUGGCAUCAAAUAAUUGUUUGGCCUAUUUGCAGCCUUCACUUGCUCCACAAACAACUCAGUGAGAACCCUAGUAUUUUCAUAGGUCCAUUCUGUGGCCAUGCUCAACAAUUGUCUGGGAAAAUCCAUGUCACUUUGGUGCUCACAUGUACUAGGAAAAUACACAUCGAUUGGAGCGUAGGUGCUUCUGUACAUAGCCAAACUCAUGUAAUAUAAAUUGAUGAUGCCCGGCCCAUUGUUGGGGGAAGUGCUACGUCUUGAGCUUGCGUUGGUUUUCCCCGAAGAGGAAGGGAUGAUGCAGCAGAGUAGCGUAAGUAUUUCCCUCAGUUUUUGAGAACCGAGGUAUCAAUCCAGUAGGAGGACACGCUCAAGUCCCUUGUACCUGCACAAAACGAUAGCUACUCGCAACCAACGCGAUUAGGGGUUGUCAAUCCCUUCACGGUCACUUACGAGAGUGAUAUCUGAUAGAUAUAAUAUUUUUGGUAUUUUUGGUAAAAAGAUGCAAAGUAAAAAAUAAAAGCAAAGUAAACAAGCAAAGCAAGAUUAAAGUGAUGGAGAUUGAUAUGAUGAGAAUAGACCCGGGGACCAUAGGUUUCACUAGUGGCUUCUCUCAAGAGCAUAAGUAUUCUACGGUGGGUGAACAAAUUAUUGUUGAGCAAUUGACAGAAUUGAGCAUAGUUAUGAGAAUAUCUAGGCAUGAUCAUGUAUAUAGGCAUCACGUCCGUGACAAGUAGACCGAAACGAUUCUGCAUCUACUACUAUUACUCCACUCAUCGACCGCUAUCUAGCAUGCAUCUAGAGUAUUAAGUUAAAAACAGAGUAACGCCUUAAGCAAGAUGACAUGAUGUAGAGAGAUAAAUUCAUGCAAUAUGAAAUAAACCCCAUCUUGUUAUCCUCGAUGGCAACGAUACAAUACGUGCCUUGCUGCCCCUUCUGUCACUGGGUAAGGUCACCGCAAGAUCGAACCCAAAGCUAAGCACUUCUCCCAUGGCAAGAACUACCAAUCUAGUUGGCCAAACCAAACGAAUAAUUCGAAGAGACUUGCAAAGAUAACCACUCAUACAUAAAAGAAUUCAGAGAAGAUUCAAAUAUUAUUCAUAGAUAGACUUGAUCAUAAACCCACAAUUCAUCGGUCUCAACAAACACACCGCAAAAAGAAGAUUACAUCGAAUAGAUCUCCACAAGAGAGGGGGGGACUUUGUAUUGAGAUUCAAAGAGAUAGAAGAAGCCAUCUAGCUACUCACACUUCAUCGGAAAGGCUAUGAUGAUGUAGAAGCCCUCCGUGAUGACGACCCUCUUCCGGCGGAGCUCCGGAACAGGCCCUAAGAUGGGAUCUCGUGGAUACAGAAAGUUGCGGCGGUGGAAUUAGGUUUUUAGCUCCUCUUCUGAUCAUUUGGGGGUACGUAGGUAUAUAUAGGAGGAAGGAGUACGCCGGAGGAGCACCGAGGGGCCCACGAGGUAGGGGCGCGCCCUAGGGGGGCGCCCCCCACCCUCGUGACCGCCUCUUUUGUUCCUUGGAGCAGGGUCCAUGUCUCCUGGAUCACGUUCGGUGAGAAAAUCACGUUCCCGAAGGUUCUAUUCCGUUUGGACUCCGUUUCUUCGAAACACUGAAAUAGGCAAAAAACAGCAAUUCUAGGCUGGGCCUCCGGUUAAUAGGUUAGUCCCAAAAAUAAUAUAAAAGUGGAAAAUAAAGCCCAAUAUAGUCCAAAACAGUAGAUAAUAUAGCAUGGAGCAAUCAAAAAUUAUAGAUACGUCGGAGACGUAUCAGGCAUCCCCAAGCUUAAUUCCUGCUCGUCCUCGAGUAGGUAAAUGAUAAAAAGAGAAUUUUUGAUGCGGAGUGCUACUUGGCAUAAUUUCAAUGCAAACCUUCUUAAUUGUGAUACGAAUAUUCAGAUUCGAAAGAUUCAAGACAAAAGUUUAUAUUGACAUAAAAAUAAUAGUACUUCAAGCAUACUAACAAAGCAAUUAUGUCUUCUCAAAAUAACAUGGCCAAGGAAAGUUAUCCCUACAAAAUAAUAUAGUCUGGCUAUGCUCUAUCUUCACCACACAAAGUAUUUAAAUCAUGCACAACCCCGAUGACAAGCCAAGCAAUUGUUUCAUAUUCUAACUUUUUCAAAACUUUUUCAAUCUUCACGCAAUACAUGAGCAUGAGCCAUGGAUAUAGCACUAUAGGUGGAAUAGAAUGGUGGUUGUGGAGAAGACAAAAAGGAGGGGAAGAUAGUCUCACAUCAACUAGGCGUAUCAACGGGCUAUGGAGAUGCCCAUCAAUAGAUAUCAAUGUGAGUGAGUAGGGAUUGCCAUGCAACGGAUGCACUAGAGCUAUAAGUAUAUGAAAGCUCAAAAAGAAACUAAGUGGGUGUGCAUCCAACUUGCUUGCUCAUGAAGACCUAGGGCAAUUUGAGGAAGCCCAUCAUUCGAAUAUACAAGCCAAGUUCUAUAAUGUAAAAUUCCCACUAGUAUAUGAAAGUGAUAAUAUGAGAGACUCUCUACUAUGAACAUCAUGGUGCUACUUUGAAGCACAAUUGUGGUAAGAGGAUAGUAACAUUGUCCCUUCUCUCUUUUUCUAUCAUUUUUUUAUAUUUUUUAUUUGGGCCUUUUCUCUUUUUUAUGGCCUCUUUUUAUUUGGGCUUCUUUGGCCUCUUUUAUUUAUUUUUCAUCCGGAGUCUCAUCCCGACUUAUGGGGGAAUCAUAGUCUCCGUCAUUCUUUCCUCACUUGGGACAAUGCUCUAAUAAUGAUGAUCAUCACACUUUUAUUUUUCUUAUAACUCAACAAUUACAACUCGAUACUUAGAACAAAAUAUGACUCUAUGUGAAUGCAUCCGGCGGUGUACCGGGAUAUGCAAUAUGACAAUGAUGAAUGUGUCAUGAUGAACUAGAUGGUGGAAAGUUGCAUGGCAAUAUAUCUCGGAAUGGCUAUGGAAAUGCCAUAAUAGGUAGGUAUGGUGGCUGUUUUAAGAAAGGUAUAUGGUAGGCGUAUGAUACCGGCGAAAGGUGCGCGGUAUUAGAGAGGCUAAUAAAGGUGGAAGGGUGAGAGUGCGUAUAAUCCAUGGACUCAACAUUAGUCAUAGAGAACUCAUAUACUUAUUGCAAAAAUCUAGAAGUUAUCAAAGCAAAGUAUUACGCGCAUGCUCCUUGGGGGAUAGAUUGGUAGGAAAAGACCAUUGCUCGUCCCCGACCGUCACUCAUAAGAAAGACAAUCAAUAAAUAAAUCAUGCUCCGACUUCAUCACAUAAUGGUUCACCAUACGUGCAUGCUACGGGAAUCACAAACUUUAACACAAGUAUUCUUUAAAUUCACAACUACUCAACUAGCAUGACUUUAAUAUUAUCACCUCCAUCUAUCAAAACAAUUAUCAAGCUUCAAUCUUUUCUUAGUAUUCAACACACUCAAAAGAAAGUUUCACAAAUCUUGAAUACCAAGCAUAUUAUUAUUAAGCAAAUUACCAUGCUAUUAAGAGACUCUAAAAAUAAUUUAAGUGAAGCAUGAGAGAUCAAUAGUUUCUUUAAAACAAAUCCAUCACCGUGCUCUAAAAGAUCUAAGUGAAGCACAUAGAGCAAAAUUAUAACGCUCAAAAGAUAUAAGUGAAGCACAUAGAGCAAAACUACUUAGCUCAAAAUAUAUAAGUGAAGCACAUAGAGUAUUCUAUCAAAUUUUAAUUCAUGUAUGGCUCUCUCAAAAGGUGUGUACAGCAAGGAUGAUUGUGGCAUACUAAGACACAAAGACACAAAUAAUACAAGACGCUCCAAGCAAAACACAUAUCAUGUUGGUGAAUAAAAAUAUAGCUCCAAGUAAAUUACCGAUGGAAGUGGAUGAAAGAGGGGAUGCCUCCCGGGGCAUCCCUAAGCUUUGACUUCUUGGUGUCCUUGGAUUUUCUUGGGGGUGCCAUGGGCAUCCCCAAGCUUAGGCUCUUGCCACUCCUUGUUCCAUAAUCCAUCAAAAGAAUUCACCCAAAACUUGAAAACUUCACAACACAAAACUCAAAAUAGAAAACUCGUGAGCUCCGUUAGAGAAAGAAAACAAAAGACCACUUCAAGGUACUGUAAUGAACUCAUUCUUUAUUUAUAUUAGUGUUAAAACUACUGUAUUCCAACUUCUCUAUGGAUUAUAAACUAUUCUACUAGCCAUAGAUUCAUCAAAAUAAGCAAACAACACACGAAAAACAGAAUCUGUCAAAAAACAGAACAGUCUGUAGUAAUCUGUAGCUAGAUCAAGAUCUGGAACCCCAAAAAUUCUAAAAUAAAUUUAUGUACGUGAGUAAUUUAUCUAUUAAUCAUAUUCAAAAAGAAUUAAAUAAAUAUCACUCUUCAAAUAAAAAUGACAGCAGUUCUCGUGAGCGCUAAAGUUUCUGUUUUUAUAGCAAGUUCAACAAGACUUUCCCCAAGUCUUCCCAACGGUUCUACUUGGCACAAACACUAAUUAAACACAAAAAACACAACCAAAACAGAGGCUAAAUAAUUUAUUUAUUACUAAGCAGGAGCAAAAAGCAAGGAAUAAAAAUAAAAUUGGGUUGCCUCCCAACAAGCGCUAUCGUUUAACGCCCCUGGCUAGGCAUAAAAGCGAGGAUAGAUCUAAGUAUUGCCAUAGUAAUAAGAUAGAUCGGUGAAGCUCAUUUCAUAUUCUCUACGUUCAGCAGCAAGUUUUCUUUGAGGCAAGCAAAAGUAAUCAAAAGGGCUAAAUUUAAUAGGACAGAAGUCUCCAAGAUCAAUUUUAGGAGGUAUAGGUUCCUCUUUCGGCCCUUCGUAUUGUACAACCAAUUCAUCAUUAUAAGCAUUCUUUUGACAGAACUUUGUGAGCCUAGACUCAAGAGAGUAUUCUAGCUCAUUAUUUCGAAUAGCCAAAUCAUCAUUAAGUUCAGAGAUUCUAUCAAUUAAAAUAUUGGUUGGCACCUUUUUUCUGAGGUUUUCAUUAAAAGCAACAUAGUCAGGAGAUUGAAAGCACAUAAUUUCUUCUUGAUCGAAGAGAAUAGAUUCUAUGGGAGGACGACCAGCGUCCACCCUAUAGUGCGCAAAGAUUUCUUUGGCUUCUUUUAUUAUAAAUCUGAAUUCAUGAGCCAAAAAGAUAGUAGCGGCACGCUUAACAGAGGAAUGCUCAAUAUUAGAAAAUUCUAGAAAAACUCUUUGUAUAGAUGGGUGCAUAUGAAUAAAUUGCCUUUCAAGUUCAACGAUAAGCAUGGCAAUAGCGUCCGCAAGACUACUAGUUAUAUGGAGAAUAGAACCGCCCAUAGAGGGCAAAGCACCGGCACAAGUAAAGAAAUCUUGAAUAACUCCUUUUCCAAUAAUAUUACCACUACCGAUUCGAAAUCUUUUUGAAUGGUAGGUAGGGGGUUCUUCAGCAGGAGCAUCAGAAUUUUCCAUGAUAUUGUUAUCACCCAUAUUGGCGAUAACUUCCCCAAUUUCAAACAUAACGACAAGCAAGCAAACUAGCACACAAGCAAACAAGAGGCAAGCGGAAAGGAGAGGGAGGAUAGAGAGAGAGAGAGGGCGAAUAAAACGGCAAGGGUGAAGUGGGGGAGAGGAAAAUGAGAGGCAAAUGGCAAAUAAUGUAAUGCGAGAGAUAGGGAUUGUGAUGGGUACUUGGUAUGUUGAAUUUUUGCGUAGACUCCCCGGCAACGGCGACAGAAAUCCUUCUUGCUACGUCUUGAGCUUGCGUUGGUUUUCUCCGAAGAGGAAGGGAUGAUGCAGCAGAGUAGCGUAAGUAUUUCCCUUAGUUUUUGAGAACCAAGGUAUCAAUCCAGUAGGAGGCCACGCUCAAGUCCCUCAUACCUGCACAAAACGAUACCUACUCGCAACCAACGCGAUUAGGGGUUGUCAAUCCCUUCACGGUCACUUACGAGAGUGAGAUCUGAUAGAUAUAAUAUUUUUGGUAUUUUUGGUAUAAAGAUGCAAAGUAAAAAAUAAAAGCAAAGUAAAAAAGCAAAGCAAGAUUAAAGUGAUGGAGAUUGAUAUGAUGAGAAUAGACCCGGGGUCCAUAGGUUUCACUAGUGGAUACUCUCAAGAGCAUAAGUAUUCUACGAUGGGUGAACAAAUUACUGUUGAGCAAUUGACAGAAUUGAGCAUAGUUAUGAGAAUAUCUAGGCAUGAUCAUGUAUAUAGGCAUCACGUCCGUGACAAGUAGACCGAAACGAUUCUGCAUCUACUACUAUUACUCCACUCAUCGACCGCUAUCCAGCAUGCAUCUAGAGUAUUAAGUUAAAAAUAGAGUAAUGCCUUAAGCAAGAUGACAUGAUGUAGAGAGAUAAAUUCAUGCAAUAUGAAAUAAACCACAUCUUGUUAUCCUCGAUGGCAACGAUGCAAUACGUGCCUUGCUGCCCCUUAUGUCACUGGGAAAGGACACCACAAGAUCGAACCCAAAGCUAAGCACUUCUCCCAUGGCAAGAACUACCAAUCUAGUUGGCUAAACCAAACGGAUAAUUCGAAGAGACUUGCAAAGAUAACCAAUCAUACAUAAAAGAAUUCAGAGAAGAUUCAAAUAUUAUUCAUAGAUAAACUUGAUCAUAAACCCACAAUUCAUCGGUCUCAACAAACACAUCGCAAAAAGAAGAUUACAUCGAAUAGAUCUCCACAAGAGAGGGGGAGAACUUUGUAUUGAGAUUCAAAGAGAGAGAAGAAGCCAUCUAGCUACUAACUAUGGACCCGAAGGUCUGAGGUAAACUACUCACACUUCAUCGGAGAGGCUAUGAUGAUGUAGAAGCCCUCCGUGAUGACGGCCCUCUUCCGGCGGAGCUCCGGAACAGGCCCUAAGAUGGGAUCUCGUGGAUACAGAAAGUUGCGGUGGUGGAAUUAGGUUUUUGGCUCCUCUUCUGAUCGUUUGCCGGUACGUAGGUAUAUAUAGGAGGAAGGAGUACGCCGGAGGAGCACCGAGGGGCCAAUGAGGCAGGGGGCGCGCCCUAGGGGGGGCGCCCCCACCCUUGUGACCGCCUCUUUUGUUCCUUGGAGUAGGGUCCAAGUCUCCUGGAUCACGUUCGGUGAGAAAAUCACGUUCUCUAAGGUUUUAUUCCGUUUGGACUCCGUUUGAUAUUCUGUUUCUUCGAAAUACUGAAAUAGGCAAAAAACAGCAAUUCUGGGCUGGGCCUCCGGUUAAUAGGUUAGUCCCAAAAAUAAUAUAAAAGUGGAAAAUAAAGCCCAAUAUAGUCCAAAACAGUAGAUAAUAUAGCAUGGAGCAAUCAAAAAUUAUAGAUACGUUGGGGACGUAUCAGGAAGCUUGUUAAGAAAAAUGCAUUCAUAGUUCCUAAGACAACCAGAACUGAUGAAAAGAAAAUGUAAGCUUAUAAAACUAUAGAAAUUGGGAAGCGUAUAAAAAUAUGAAAAAAAUUAGUUAAAAGAAUGCUAUUUCUAACAAAAACAUGAAGGAUGAACUACAUAGGUAUGCUGCAAUCGCCUAACACAUAUAUUGUCAAUAAAAAGUCUAGUGUAGAAAAUUAACUUAUGACCAACAUGUAUUAAUUGAUGGUGUGGCAAUGCUGUGUGCAUAGAUUAGUGCAAAAAAAACUUAUAACUUACAUGCAUGACUUGCUUAUCUGGCAUGGUGGCAUGGCUAAGAAAAAUAGACAAUAGUUUGUAGCUAUUUAGGAAUAGAGGGUGUGUUCAAUUUUUUAUUGUGUGCAUAUGCGCAUCUGCCCAUGUUUGCACACAUAUAAACACAUCGCAGUAUACUUGGCACACUUCAAAUUAAGAAGCUAGGCAACAUUUGCACACAUUGCACACAUAUCACUAUACAUCACACAUUCAAAGAUACCACCACAAGAAAGUAAAAGGGGAGCUCACCACGGGUCUGGGCGAGGGGGCUUUGGCGAGGACUACCGUCUGGGUGAGCCAAGAAGAGGAUGGCAAGCUCAGAGGUGGGGGCAAAUGGGUAAGCGUCAGUGGGGAAGCUCGACAGUCGGUGAUGGAGUAGUUGUGUGCCUCGGGUUUGCAUCACAAGGGAGAAAAUGGAGAGAGAGAGAGAGCAUGGCGGAGGGGCAAUCUACGCAAUCCUUGAAGGAAAUAUGCCCUAGAGGCAAUAAUAAAGUUGUUAUUUAUAUUUCCUUAUAUCAUGAUAAAUGUUUAUUAUUCAUGCUAGAAUUGUAUUAACCGGAAACUUAGUACAUGUGUGAAUACAUAGACAAAAUAGAGUGUCCCUAGUAAGCCUCUACUUGACUAGCGUGUUAAUCAAAGAUGGUCAAGUUUCCUGACCAUAGACAUGUGUUGUCAUUUGAUGAACGAGAUCACAACAUUAGAGAAUGAUGUGAUGGACAAGACCCAUCCGUUAGUUUAGCAUAAUGAUCGUUAAGUUUUAUUGCUAUUGCUUUCUUCAUGACUUAUACAUAUUGCUCUGACUAUGAGAUUAUGCAACUCCCGAAUACCGGAGGAACACCUUGUGUGCUAUCAAACGUCACAACAUAACUGGGUGAUUAUAAAGAUGCUCUAUAGGUGUCUCUGAAGGUGUUUGUUGGGUUGGCAUAGAUCGAGAUUAUGAUUUGUCACUCCGAGUAUCGGAGAGGUAUCUCUGGGUCCUCUCGGUAAUGCACAUCACUAUAAGCCUUCCAAGCGAUGUGACUAAUGAGUUAGUUACGAAAUGAUGCAUUAUGGAAUGAGUAAAAAGACUUGCCAGUAAUGAUAUUGAACUAGGUAUGAUGAUACCGACGAUCGAAUCUCGAGCAAGUAACAUACCGAUGACAAGGGAAAUAACGUAUGUUGUUAUUGCGGUUUAACCGAUAAAGAUCUUCGUAGAAUAUGUAGGAACCAAUAUGAGCAUCCAAGUUCCACUAUUGGUUAUUGACCGGAAAUGUGUCUCGGUCAUGUCUACAUAGUUCUCGAACCCGUAGGGUCCGCACACUUAAUGUUCGAUGACAAUUUGUAUUAUGAGUUAUGUAUUUUGGUGACCGAAGUUUGUUUGGAGUCCCGGAUGAGAUCACGGAUGUGACGAUCUCGAAAUGGUCGAGAGGUAAAGAUUGAUAUAUUGGAACGUAGUAUUCGGACACCGGAAGGGUUCCAGAGUGUAACGGGUACAUACCGGAGUACCGGAGGGGUUACGGGAAACCCCCGAGGAAAGAUAUGGGCCAUAUGGGCCAUAGGAGGGAGGCUAACCAGCCCACAAGGGGCUGGUGCGCCCCCCACAAGGGAGGAGGCCGAAUUGGUUUAGGGAAGGGGGCGCCACCCCCCUCCCCCCUUUCCUUCUCCUACUCCCUCUCCUUCCCCCUUUCCACCUCCAUGAGAAGGAAAAGAGGCGGGGGGGGGGGGCGAAUCCUACUGGGACUAGGAGUCCUAGUAGGCCUCCCCCCCUUAUGGUGCGCCCCUAGGGCCGGCCUCCUCCCUCUCCCUCCUUUAUAUACGUGGGUAGGGCACCCCUUGGAGACACACCAAUUGUUCCAAGCCGUGUGCGGCGUCUCUCUCCACGGUUUACUCUUCCAGUCAUAUUCACGAGUGCUUAAGCGAAGCCCUNNNNNNNNNNNNNNNNNNNNNNNNNNNNNNNNNNNNNNNNNNNNNNNNNNNNNNNNNNNNNNNNNNNNNNNNNNNNNNNNNNNNNNNNNNNNNNNNNNNNNNNNNNNNNNNNNNNNNNNNNNNNNNNNNNNNNNNNNNNNNNNNNNNNNNNNNNNNNNNNNNNNNNNNNNNNNNNNNNNNNNNNNNNNNNNNNNNNNNNNNNNNNNNNNNNNNNNNNNNNNNNNNNNNNNNNNNNNNNNNNNNNNNNNNNNNNNNNNNNNNNNNNNNNNNNNNNNNNNNNNNNNNNNNNNNNNNNNNNNNNNNNNNNNNNNNNNNNNNNNNNNNNNNNNNAACCAGCCCACAAGGGGCUGGUGCGCCCCCCACAAGGGAGGAGGCCGAAUUGGUUUAGGGAAGGGGGCGCCACCCCCCUCCCCCCUUUCCUUCUCCUACUCCCUCUCCUUCCCCCUUUCCACCUCCAUGAGAAGGAAAAGAGGCGGGGGGGGGGGGCGAAUCCUACUGGGACUAGGAGUCCUAGUAGGACUCCCCCCCUUAUGGUGCGCCCCUAGGGCCGGCCUCCUCCCUCUCCCUCCUUUAUAUACGUGGGUAGGGCACCCCUUGGAGACACACCAAUUGUUCCAAGCCGUGUGCGGCGUCUCUCUCCACGGUUUACUCUUCCAGUCAUAUUCACGAGUGCUUAAGCGAAGCCCUGCGCGGAUCACAUCGCCAUCACCGCCACCAUGCCGUCGUGCUGACGGAACUCUCCCUUGACCCUCUGCUAGAUCAAGAGUUCGAGUGACGUCAUCGAGCUGAACGUUUGCUGAACUCGGAGGUGUCGUACGUUCGGUACUAGAUCGGUUGGAUCGUGAAGACGUUCGACUACAUCAACCGCGUUAACCUAACGCUUUCGCUUUCGGUCUACGAGAGUACGUGGACACACUCUCCCCCUCUCGUUGAUAUGCAUCUCCUAGAUAGAUCUUGUGUGAUUGUAGGAUUUUUUUUUUGAAAUUGCAUGCUACGUUCCCCAACAAUCCUACCUAGCCUACCUAACUAAAUACCCCUGAAUUUCACUAUCUUGAUGUAGAUCCCCAAUGAGGCAUUACAGGCGUGGCCACCACUGCAAUGGGUGGGUGGCGGUGUUUGUGGUCCUCUCACUGACAUUCUUCCACAAAGUCGCGACAAUGUUGCUCUGUCAUGAUACCAAUCUUGAUCUACUUAUCAUCACGAGCAACACCUAUGUAGCGAAGGUGAAGAUUUCAACCACAGGGCGGCAUCACCCUAUAGGUUGACACUCUAGAAGAAGGCCGCAAUAGAGAAACACCAUACGGGGGCAGAGCAGAGAAGCAAAGGAUGGAGAGGUGGUGGUGGCACCGUCCGUGCCCCAAACAUAGUCGUGUUCGCCUCCCUUUGUCGCCUUCGGGAAAAGCAAGUACACCCUUAUGUUUUUCCCAUUAAGUUUUUUCUCAUCUUAGUUAUGAAGGAGACAAUACUAAUUGCAUGUUGUAUACCAUCUUCUCAAUUUUUCCAAGAGUUUAGAAGGAAUUGCAACAGCAUAUCAAGUGUUACUGUCCUUUGACUGUUUACGGUGGUGUGUACGAGUUUGGAGCAUCUUGCUAGUGAUGUUUUUAUCGACAUGGGUGGCGACAUAAUGUAUACAGUCCCUCCAUCCAAAUAUAUAUGGUCUAAUACAUGUUUCGAGGUUACCUUUGACCAUUGAUAAAAUUGUUAAUAUAAGAGAUGUACGAUAUAAAUUAGGAACUCAUUUCAUAUACGAAUUUGACGGUAUGCUCCGUGUAACAUGCAUGCCAUAUAUUAUUGAUCUAACAUGUGGUGAAACUUAACCUUGAAAACAUAUUAUGCUCUAUAUUUUUCUAUUGGAGGGAGUAUAGGCUUUCCACUCCAUACAUCUAGGCAUAGUCACGGUCUUGUUUGACUUUGCUUUUACCGGCGUAGUACUUUGUGCGAGUUUGCAUUGGUUGUACUAUAUGACUUUACUCAUUAGCUUGUAUCACCUUGAUGCCAUAUUAUGUGUCAAUAAAAACCGUUAUAUAUCAAAAAAAACUCUCCUCACAUCUUCCGACAUCACUUUUGGGGGAUUCUUAGAAUUAUAAGGCUGGCUGUAAUGAGGAGUAUCAUAUAGUAGUAUCAUGCAUAUGAUACUAGUGUAUGUUACUAUCUCGUAAUGCAUAGUAUCAUAUAUUAGUAUCAUGUAGCACUUUAUUUAUUGUCAUGCAUGACACAAAGUAGCAUAGCAUUUAUUAUGAUACAGUAUCAUGAUAUGAUACUCCAUCCUCUUUUUCUUCAUUUAGUGCUAUGACACCUCAUCAGUGGCGGAGCCAGAAACUUAAUAUAGAGGGGGCCAAACAGAGUGCUAUAAUGUUAGACGGGGCCAAAUCAACUAAAUCUUGCUAAUUAUGUUUGACAAAUGGAGGAUUAGGAGCAUAUAUAGUUGUAUUUGAGAGAGCAUAGGGGGGGCCUUGGCCCCUGCCAGCACCCCCCUGCCUCCGCCACUGCACCUCAUCAAAAUUGCCUAGUUGGCAUGCAUGAUACUAGCUAUGAUACUGCCAUUACGAUCAGCCGGAGAGAUUAUUAUUAAUCAGAUUGCUUAUUGCUACUCAAUAAAGAGAAGUUAGAUGCAUUUAUUUGUCUAUCUCUCUCGUUCUUUACUUCAACACAACCAAAGGAAAUGGAUGUGGACGGAAGUACUACACCGAGCGAAGCAGCAGGCAGCCAUCAUUGACGAACUACCCCGCUGACCCUCUACCCACUGGGUUUCAAUGCAGAACGUCCAUAGAUGCAGCCAUGCAUGCAUCAACCUUUUGCUGACCGUAGUCAAGUCGAAGUAGUAGUGCAAAUGCAAUUCAGUCACAGGGUGUUCAACUGAUAAUUGCACAGGACGAGAGCGAUUGAUAAUGCUCUUAGACUAGUCAUAGUGGGAGUAACUUAGACUAUCCACAAUGGAAGUAAUAUAGGUACUCCCUCCUUCCGUCUAUAUAGGGCCUAAUGCGUUCUUCAAGACCACCUUUGACUAUUAAUAAGAUUAAUAAUACAUGAGAUGUAUAAUGUGAAAAUUAUAUCACUGGAAGCUCCUUUCACGUACGAAUUUGACAGUAUGCUUUGUGUAACUUGCAUGUCAUAUAUUAUUGCUCUAACACUUGGUCAAAGUUAGCCUCGAAAAACGCAUUAGGCCCUAUAUAGAUGGAAGGAGGGAGUAGUAACAUCAUACAUGUUUAGAUAAAAUGGAUGAUGUAGCAAGCAAUAAAUGAAGAAAGAGAGGCGUGUGGUAACAUAGCUAGUUAGGCUGGUCACAAUGGGCAAGAACAUAGUCUAGUAACUUACACACUUCCCUAGACUAUGUUACUACCUCCACAGUGGGUAGAAACAUCUAUGUAGUGUCAUGCAACAAUGUAUUUAUUAGGUUAUAAACUCAUUGUUUUUUGGAGUGUGUGAUGUUCCGAUAACUUAGCUAGUUACCACAAGCAUCUCUCUCUUCAUUAAAUAUGUGACACAUAAGCAAAGUUGUAUUGGAGUGUGUGAUGUUACUCCUAAGUUCCUCCCCAUUGUGACCAGCCUUACUACUAGUAUGAGUAACAUCACACAUAUUAAGGCAAGAUGAGUCUAUGGCCUAAUAAAUGAAGUGUUGUAUGUUACCACACAUAUGUUACUAUCCACUAUAAAGGUAGUAACAUAGAGUAGCUAGUAACAUAGCGCAUUUCGAGAAAAUUCUGCUUAUGUGGCAAGUAAUUAACGAGAGGUGAUAACAUAAUAUGUUACUGUAACAUAGCGCUUUCCAAUACAAGAUGAGUCUACGAGCUAAUAAAUGAAGCCAUCUAUAAUACUACUAGUAUGUUACUUUCCAUUAUGAAGGUGGACUUGCAAACAUGUUUAUGUGACAGAUAAUUAAAGUAGUGAGAUGGUUAUAUAUAAAUGUGAUGCUAUUAUGUGUCAUGCAUAGUAAUAAAUGAGACCACAUAUUAUACUAAUUUAUGAUACUAUGCACUAUACUCCCUCCGUUUAGGUAUGCAAGUCACCUUAUAAAAACCAAAUAAUCCCAAAAUACUUAGGCACGGUACAUUAACUUCCUCCUCGUUUCUUGUUUUGUGACAUAUCAAUCAAUAAAAGAUGUGGACCGUGCAUGUUUUCAAUGACUUGAAACUAUCAAACAUGAUAUGCAGUGGUUAGUUCAUUAUAUGCAAUGCUAUUAAUUAGCAAAAAGGUAUUAAGUUUUCUCGUUUUUCUCCCUGCCUUGGUCACCUAGACAGAGGGAGUAGAGUAAGUUACUCCUCACUAUAACCAGCCUUAAUCACCCAUCUGCUCUAUGGCCGCGUAUUCGGACGGUGCAUGGCCAGGCCAACUAUAAAUACCCCAGGAGUUCCAGCACCCCUCUCCUCACCACCAUCUUUUUCCAUUCCCAUCACACAACGUACACCUCUGCGACCGCAAUAGCGAGAGGGAAGAGUAGAUCUGCGGCCAUGGCGAUGAGGAAGGAGGUCCUCCUGGCAGCCAUGAUGCUGCCGCUGGUGGUGGCGGAGCGCGUGCCGCGUGCGAGAUGGGGCAGCUGACGGUGUGCAUGCCGGCGAUCACCACCGGUGCCAAGCCGAGCGGCGCGUGCUGCUCCAACCUGCGCGCGCAGCAGGGGUGCUUCUGCCAGUACGCCAAGGACCCCUC